UACUGGUAGCCCAACUGAGAAGGCAAUUCUUUCUUGGGCUGUGCUUGAUUUGGGGAUGAAUGUUGAUGAACCGAAACAGUGCUGUAAAGUAAUCAACGUGGAGGCCUUCAAUUCAGAGAAAAAGAGAAGUGGAGUUUUGGUGAAGAGGAUCCGCGAAAAGACUGUUCACAUACAGUGGAAGGGAGCUGCAGAGAUGAUACUGGCCAUGUGUUCUCAUUAUUAUGUCAAAAGUGGGACAAUCAGAGUCUUGGAUGGUGAAGCGAGAAAGCAAAUUGAGAUAGUUAUCAAGGACAUGGCAGCCAAGAGCUUACGAUGCAUUGCUUUUGCUCACACCAAAGUUGCAGAGGCUGAUGGGCAGGUUCAGGAGAAGCUUGAAGAAACUGGCCUGACCUUGUUGGGCCUUGUGGGCUUGAAGGAUCCUUGUCGUCCAGGUGUCAGAGCAGCAGUUGAAUGUUGUAGAAAUGCAGGGGUGAAUGUCAAGAUGGUAACUGGGGACAAUGUGCACACGGCUAGAGCCAUAGCUAUUGAAUGUGGAAUCCUUAAUCCUGAUGUGGGUUUAAACAAUGAUGAUGCGGUAAUCGAAGGUGCGCAAUUUAGAAGUCUCUCAGCUGAAGAAAGAGUGGCAAAGAUUGAAAGUAUCAGAGUGAUGGCAAGGUCUUCCCCACUAGACAAGCUUCUGAUGGUUCAAAGUUUGAAGCAGAAAGGCCAUGUUGUAGCAGUGACUGGCGAUGGCACAAAUGAUGCUCCUGCACUCAAGGCCGCAGAUAUUGGACUCUCAAUGGGAAUUCAAGGAACUGAAGUGGCAAAGGAGAGCUCAGAUAUCGUCAUUAUGGAUGAUAACUUCACCUCUGUAGUGACAGUUCUGAGAUGGGGACGAUGUGUGUACAACAACAUUCAGAAAUUCCUUCAAUUUCAGCUCACAGUCAAUGUUGCUGCUCUUGUCAUCAACUUUGUUGCUGCUGUUUCUUCAGGAAAAGUCCCACUGACUGCUGUUCAGCUGCUCUGGGUGAACCUGAUAAUGGAUACACUGGGAGCAUUGGCAUUGGCCACUGAGCAGCCCACCAAUGAUCUCAUGUCAAAGCCUCCCGUUGGCCGAUCCGAGCCUCUGAUAACAAAACUCAUGUGGAGGAAUCUCAUCCCUCAGGCCAUUUAUCAGGUGACCAUCUUACUGACUCUGCAAUUUAAAGGAAGAUCAAUCUUCGGCGUGAAUGAAAGUGUUAAAGAUACCAUGAUUUUCAAUACUUUUGUCUUCUGCCAAAUCUUCAAUGAGUUCAAUGCUAGGAAACUUGAGAAGAAGAAUAUAUUCAAAGGGAUACACAAGAACAAGUUGUUUCUAGCAAUCAUUGGAAUUACCAUUGUUCUUCAACUUCUAAUGGUAGAGUUUCUGAAGAAGUUUGCUGAUACUGAGAGGCUGAAUUGGGGGCAAUGGGCAGCUUGUAUUGGCAUUGCAGCUAUGUCUUGGCCAAUUGGUUUUCUCUUCAAGUGCAUUCCCGUUUCUGGCACGCAGCUGCUUUUCAAGCAAAGAGCUUCAUGAAUCACAAAUCCAUAAUCAAUUCUCUAUCAGUUAAUAUUUUCUUUUAUCUUUGUUUAGUUUCUUAAGUUUCCUAGCUCAAUUUGUAAAUAUAAGUCUAAUAGCUAAUUACUUCAUAGUGAAAUUUAUUUUGAAUAAAAGAAAAAAUUCUAUUGCUUCAUCAGGUCCUUAGAAUUUCAUUUGACCAAUUAAAUAUAUGGUUAUAAAAUACAUAUAUCUUUAGCAAGUACUAAACAUUAAACUUGGAGAAGAGGAUUCCUUGACUAUAAAAGAAGUAAGAAAUGUUAGUCGAGCAGGUGUUUGUUAAAAGUGAUAAGUGUCUGUUAAAAGUAAUAAGUGUUUGUUGAAAUGUCCCAGUGAAGCUCCGGAGCAAUAUCACACUUCAUUGCUUUCAACAAACACGUGCAAUGGAAUAAAAACAAGAGAAAGCUGUAAUGUGUAAGUACUGCAUGCAGCAGCCGUUGGAUGCAUUUAACCCCAGCCAUAGGAUUAGUUUGUAAAGACUAAAGAUGUAAUGAGAAAUUACAAAUCGAUUCCCAAAUAUAUCUUGCGGAAAAUGUCAAGCUCAAUGGAAACCAACGUUAAUGCUUAUACAAGCCUAGUUUGUACAAUAAUUUCUAGAGUAAUGCUGCACUUUUCGAGCCUAAAUUUUUCUGCUUAUGAAAUUUUCUACUCUUAUAUUGAUUGCUUCCUUCUUUUAAAUUUUAAGACUGCCUGCAUAUUUGAUUUUGAUCGAAAGGCACUUUCCAUUGAGCUUUCAUUUUGCCAACUCUACUCCACAGUCUUGAGGCCACAAAACAACGAUGGGAAAGAUGAUUAGAAGUUUCUGCACUUGUGUUUACAAAAUUAUUUGGUACAUUUUCAUCAUCACUACAACAAAAGGGCCAAUUCAAAAGAUGUUGUCUAACAAAAAAAGUCGUCAACACGCUUAAGUCACAAUUCUUGUGAAGGUAGCUCACUAUUCGAGCAGUUCAGUGAAGCCACGUCAGCAGAAGGUUAUUAGUGAAAUAUAGAAGUUCAGCUGAGUUGGUUAAAAUGUCGAUAUACAGCUCAUAGUUCGUUAUGUAAAGUUUGUUAAUUACAAGUAGAAAUCACGUGUGAGAACUUUGUAUAUAAACGUGAGCUUGUAAACAAAUAAGAUAAUAAUGAAUCAACUGGAAUUUUCAUAGUUUCAUUUUCUCUAAGAUUUUCCUUUGAACCAAACAGUAUAUUUAUGUUCUUCUACAUGGUAUCAGAGCCACAAUGGCUAAUUCAAGUACUGCAACUUCAAAUCAAUCGAUCAUGAAUUUAAAUCAACCAUCACAAACUUCAUUUACUUUCGCAGCUACUGUGAAAUUAGAUCGAUCUAAUUUUCUGCUUUGGCGAAAACAAGUCUUGACACUACAACAAAUAUGGUCUUUGGUAACAUUAUAUUGUAGCAUUUUUUUAAAGAAUGUUACCAAAUAUUAAUUUAUUGUAAUAUUUUCUAAAGUGAUGCUACCUUUGUAGCAUGAAAGCCAUUACAUUUUGGUUUUAAUGACACUUGAUAAUUACUAGUAGCAUUUUUGUAUAUGCUACAUAUAAUAUUGAAUUAUAUAGCAUCUAGGAAAUGCUACAAGAUAAGAUUAAAUAAAAUAGCAUUUGAAAAAUGUUAAGGAAUAGUAAUAAAUGUAAUAAUAUUUUAAAAUAGCAUUGGUAGCAUUCUAUUGGUAGCAUUUUGAUUCAUAAAAUACAAUAGCAUUUGAAAAUUGCUACAAGCCAAAAGGAUUGGAGUAUUAGACCAUCAAUGUCUAUUGGUGAUAUGAAAAUAUGCUAAAUAGAAUAUCAAUUAAUAAUUUAACAUUCUAAAAAUUCAACAAGAUAGUAUUAAAUAUAAUAUGUGUUAGGCAUCCCAGCAUCUAAUUUUCAAUUUGAGUCUCAACAGAUGUGGCACUCAUCUAUUUAAUGGCGAAUAACUAAUUUUAUAAGUUAUGAAAUUCAUCAUCGAAUAAAUGUGUGAUAAAUGGUAUUGGGUCUCAAGUUGAGACUUAAAUACUAGGAUCCCUAAUAUUAUUGUCAAAUAUAAUAACAUUAUUUUUUGUGAGUAAAUAUAAAAGCAUUUUAAAAAUGUUAUAAAAUAGUGAAAAUUAUAAAAAUAAAAAAUGGGAUGAAAAUUAAGCUAAAGAUAUGCAAAACAGGUAGUUUUAGUAAAAGGCAGGUACUUUAUAAAAAAAAUUAAAAACGCCCAUUAUUUUAUUUCACUUCCCGCGAUCUCUUUCUAGAAAAUUCUCCUCUGCUAUCUCUUCUCCACGCCCAUUGUUCUCUCCAACUCUAAUUCCAACUAAAUCUAUAAAAACAAAAAGAUAAAAAUAGAAAAGACGAAAACGAUUCCAUGGGCACUUCACGUAUGUUUGCUGAUUUGAGAAAGAUUACUUGGCUUUUUGGAUGAUUUAGAAGUGGCAUCAUUGAUUUGGUAAGGAUUCUUACUCCGUUACUCGUGCAACUUCAAUUUCAGUAUUCCCAUGGUCAAAGCAAAUGCACAUCCCCAAUCUGGGUGCUUUUUCUUCCAUCCACUUGAGUAAUUAAUGAUUAAAUUAUUUACUAUUAUAUAUGGGUCUGAUGGUUGAAUAUUUAAAUGGAAAAGUCAUGUUAUCUUGUUAAUUGGUUUUGAAUUAUUGAUAGUUUUAUAGUUUAUUAUUAUUUUUUCUCUCAAUCCCUAGCAUUCUAGCAAUAUCUACAAUUAGCUGCGUCAAUAUAAAUUUUUUAACUUAUAUGUCGUUAUUAUAGAUUGGCUGCUUAUGAUUUCUUUCUCUUUUGAUCAAAUUGGUCUUGGGUUUUGAUAUAUUUUAUGAUUGUCACUAUUAACAUAAUUUUAAUUGCAGAAUCUCAAAAUUCUUGUUUGGUAUGUGUAGUGUUAGCCUUUGAUUGAGGAGUUAUCAGCUUCAUACUCAAUAGACUUGCAGCAACGUGCAUAUCAAUUCUAAGGCAGGUUUGGUGAAGAAAUUUAAAGUCAAAGAACAAAGGUGCAGCCAAUACAAUUUUCUGGUACUAUUUAUUUUAUUUUAAUAUGUUUUAAAAUUUGUUUACGGCAACAUCUUUUAAUAAUUAUUAAUUUGUAUUGUGAAUUUUAUGUUUUGUGUUUUAAAACUAAUUCUUUCUUUCUGUGUGUUUUAUGUUUGUUUGGGUAAUGACAGACAGAAUAUAUAUGUAAGACUUUAAUCAUUGACGGCUUUUUUCUACAUUGUAUCUAGGUAGUUAUAAAUAAUAUCAAUUUUAACUGAUGAAAUGAAUCAUAAACUGAAAGAGAGCAUUAGCAUAUAUCAUUUAAAUUUAAAUUUUUUUCAUAGUUCAUGAUAAAUGUUGCUCACACGUGAAGUAAUGAUUUUAGAUAUGCUUUCAGAUAAAUGAAUACAUGAAGUAUGUAAAUUAAAAUGACUCUCAUUGUACAGGGUUAAUAUAUUUAUAUGUAUGUAAAUUAAAAAUAAUUUCCAAGUGGUUAAAUGAUAUAUAUUUGUGGUACCAGGAGUAGUGGACAUAUGAUGAUGAAUAAAGAUUGGAUCCAACUUAACAGGUAAUAAAAGAUGAUUUUUAAGCAAGAUAAUAAAACUAUAUAAAAAAUACACAUUAUUACUAAUAUGUAAUUAAUACUGUGAUUUGGUAGAGCUACUAACGAGUAUAUGCAAGCUGCUUCGAAUUUUGUGAAUUUGGCCAAAAGAAAUGCAUGGAAUGUAGAUAAGAUUUUGUGUCCCUGUAAAGAUUGCCGAAAUCUAAGUCAUCAUCUUGUGGAGACUGUUUAUGAGCACUUGAUCUUUAAAGGAAUGGAUCUUACUUACACAACUUGGUUCCAUCAUGGGGAGAAACUAAGUAUAGAUGAAAAUCCUAAAGAAGUGAAAAUGUCAGACACACAUAAUUUAUAUGCAAAUGCAUAUAUGGAAAAUGAAGAUUAUGUAACACCUACACUAGGAAAAGAUGAAGACUUCACUCAAAAAUUAGAAGAUGCAGAAACUCCAUUGUAUCCAAGUUGUACAAGAUACACAAAAUUAUCAGCCAUUGUAGCUUUGUACAAACAUAAAGCAGGCAAAAAUCAAGGCUAGUUAAGAAGAUGGCAAACAAAUUGGAUGGACAAUGGCAAAGAGCUUAUGUGUUCCAGGAGAUGGCUGGGCUUUGGAGGGCUUCAAAAUCAAGGUUAGUUCAGAAGAUAUUGCAGGCAAAAAAUGAACAAGAAAGAAUGAAGUUAAGACCUGAUAACAUCUCAUCAAUAAACGAAUGGAAAAGUUUUGUGAAAGAAAAAACAAGUGAAAAUUUUAAAGUAAGUUUUUUACUAUAUUAAAUUAUGUAAUUAUGGUUGUAACUAUGUUACUGAACAAAGUUUAUAUUAACUGUGUAGGAAAGAAGUGAAGGAUUUAAAAAGAUUAGGAAGAAACAAAUCCCACAAACAACAGGUCGUAGGGGACUCGCUAGAAUGACAGAAGAUAUGGUAAAAAAAUAUUUCUUUUAUAAUAGGAUUUUAGCUGAGCAAUCAUUUCUAAACUAUUUUCUGUUGCAGAAAAAAAGUAGUGGAAAAACUGAAGUGCCUAGAGUUGAUGUAUGGAUGCGAGCACAUACAAAAAAAGACGGUCAACCCGUGAACAUUCAAGCUAGAGAGACUAUUGUAAGAAUAUCCAUUUAUUCAAUUGAUAUGCUUGUUUUUAUCAUCUGUUCUUGAUUAAUAUUACUUUUAAAUAAAUUUUCAGGAUAAAUUAAAAGAAACUUUGCAAGAUCCAUCACGACAUUCUUCAAAUAAUCUAAGAGAUGAUGCUCUCUCACAAGUACUUAGGCCUGACAAUUCUCAUUUAAGAGCUAUCGGCAAAGGAGUCACCAUUUCAAAAUUGGUCAUACUAUCACAAAAGGACAGCAUAAUAGCUAAGUUGACAGAAGAACAUGAUGAAAUUAAAAAAGAAAAUGCUCAAAUGAAACAAGAACAAGAUGAAAUGAAGAAAGCAUUGUCCGAUAUGCGAAGUUUAGUUGAAGAGUUACAAAAAAGGCAGGCAUGUACUAUGUUUUACUCACUUUUAUGUAGUUGUUAUAAUAUUUAGUUACUGACUUUUUAUUUUUCAUUUUAGAAUCAUUUUCAUGAAACCGAAACAAAUGGGAAUCCUCCGAAAACACCUUUGACUUCUCCAAUGGUAAGAACAUUAUUUACACUUUUAAGUUUAGUGAAAGGAUGAAAAAUAAAAUGAUGAAGGCUUAUUACUAAUAUUUUUUUUCUUAAUUAAAUUGUUCUUGUGUUGUUGUUAAAGAGUGUGAAGGCAAUCCCAAACAUUACUAAGUGUAAAAUGCUUGAUUUGGAGGGGUCUGAUACAGUUGUGGCUGAAGGGCGUUGGUCAUCAAGUGAUCCAAAUGCACUUGUUCAUCACAUUCCUCUUGGUUCUAACGCUAUAAGAGUUUGGGUGGAUAUAGCUAGGCAGCCGCUAAAAUUUUUGUGGAAAGUAACACAUUAUAUGACAACAAUUGAAGAAUAUGUUGGGAGUACAAUUGCAUGGCCAGCUGAUAGAGUUAUCCUGUUUGCUGCCAACUAACUUUUCUAGUCCAUCUAUUUAGGUAUUCUUUUACGUCCUUUUCUUUUUUCCAAUGACCUCAUAUUUUUAAGUUUGCUUGCAAUUAUGAUCUAGUUUACCACUAUGAGAAAGUAAUUUUGCAUUUUUCUACUUUGAGAAGGUUCUGAUUUUAUCUUCUUGGUUCAAUUUUUCCUAGAGUGGUUAUUUUGAAAAGUAGUUGUUUUGUUCAUUUUUAUUAGGAGCCAUACGCCAAGGUUUCACUAUUGCCAUAGGUGUUUGAAAUGUUAAUCUUGGUGGGUUGUGAUUUGGCUUAUUGCUUAUCAUUAUGUUAUUUCAUUUCUUGAUAAAUGAAAAAUAAAAUAUUUUCCUCUUAUGAUACAAAUAUUCAGAUUCAUUACUUUGAAUUUUCAAUAUUGUUAUUUUUAUUUGUAUUUAUUAAUGAGUCAUUAUUUUAUUUUUCAUUCUUAAAGCAUCAUUAUUAAUUCUUUUCAUUAUCAUAAUGUAACUAUGCUUUUGUUUUAAUUUCAUGAUGCAGGAUGUAAAAAUUUAAGUAUAUUUUGUAAAGAGUAGAAGGCAAGUUGUGGAUGUUAUGGGUAACAUAAUGGGUAAAAACCUGCAAGUAUGACAUGAACAUACUUAAUUUUUUGUGCAAGUCUCUUUGUAUACUUUGAUGUACAUGAUCAUGUGAUUUUGGAUGCUUAUAUAUAGUUACAGUGAUGAAAUAUAUGGUAUCUAAAUUUUUUUCAUGAAAGGAAUAAUAGAUUACACGUCAAAUGGUUUGGCAUUGGAGACUUAAAAUUAUAUUUAGUGAAUAAACAUUUUGAUACGAAUUUAUCAACUAAAUUGAUGAUAUUGAACAACCAUUAAAAAAAUACUUUUUUAUUAAUCAACAUUCAUAACUUUUUACAAAUGCUACUAUAUAAAGAUUUAAAAUCUUCCAUAGCAUUUACUAACAGCUACAUUAUAUAUAUAUAUUAAUUUUGUGCUAGUUGUAACAUUUCCGAAACGUUAUAAUUAUUAGUAAAAUUGCAUUAUCAAAGUGCUAUCAAAGACAAGUGGUAGCAUUAGUAAAUGGUUCAGUAGCAUUUUUUUAAUGUUAUAUAUGUAAUUUAGUAGCAUUGCAUAAAUGCUACACAUUGCACAAUGAUAGCAUUUGCACGAAGCUGUAAAAUAAGAUUUGCUAACCAUUUUUAAAUGCUAUAUAUAUGAAUUGUUAGCAUUCAAUAGAUGCUAUUAAAUAGUAAAACUUUUAGUUACAUGGGCAAACUUAGCGUUGCCUAAAAUGCUACCGAUCACCUUUGGUAGCAUUUUUUGGAUGCUAUUAUAUAUCCUUUUUGUUGUAGUGUGACUUCGAUCAGAGGAAAUUGCUUGGAAAAAUUCAUUUCAGAGCCACAAAUUAUUCCAGAACAAUAUCUGUCGAAUGCAACAACUGAUGGAUCUGGAGAGAAUGUUGAAAAUCCAGCUUAUGUCAACUGGAGAGCACUGGAUCAAACACUUCUUGGUUGGCUGCUAUCAACCAUAAGUGAAGGUAUUCUCAAUUCAAUCCUUAGCUAUGAUACUUCUUUUGAUGUGUGGAAAGCUAUUGAAAAACAAUUUGGAGUUCAAUCUGAAGUUAAGAUCAUGCAACUUCGUUAUGAAAUGAAUAUCUUAAGGAAAGAUUCAAUGAAUAUUGAGGAAUAUUGUGCAAAAAUGAAGCUACUGGCAAACAAACUUGCCUGUGCUGGUGAUAUCAUUACUGAAAAAGAUAUGUUGAUGAGGAUUUUAAAUGGUUUAGGUUCUGGCUAUUUAGAUCUGGCUUCAAUCAUUACUGCAAAUAAGAUGAGUUAUGAUGAUGCAUAUGCCUUAUUGUUGACACAUGAAGCUAGACUUGAACAGAGUCAAGGUACUAAAACCAUUCUUAAUGCAAAUUACAGUUCAAUGAAUGUUAAUCACUCUUACAUGAGAGGAAAUUUUAGAAGAGGCACAUUUGGUAAUGGAAAUUAUGGUUGUUCUGGUAAUAGAAGUUUUAAUGGUGGAAGAGGUGUGUUUCAUAAUUCAUAUCCUAGAGGAUCUCCUACUGGUGUUGCAAAUUUUGGAGGCUAUGGUAGAGGACAAACAGUGCAAUUUCUAAGGCCAUCUGUGAGACCAAAUUAUCCUCUUUCAGCUUUUCAUCCUUCAGCUAAUACACCCUCUGAUGAAUCACCACCAAUAUGUCAGAUAUGUCAUAAGCAAUGGCACACAACAGAUGAAUGCUGGCACAUAUAUGAUGAUAGUCCUACACCUUUACCCAAACACUUUGGAAGGGGUAGAUCAUUUAGGUCCAAGGCUGCUUAUAUGGCUAAUUUCGAUCCAUUUACAAAUUACGCUGCUCCAACAGUGGAAGACAACUAUGCUGCUCAUUUUUACUCUGGCUUUAAUCCAAUGUAUCACUCAUCUUAUCCAUCUGCAGAGUUUAAUGCUCCUGAAGCUUAUCUUACCAAUUAUGAAGGGCCUGCUGAUGAUGGAUGGUAUCUGGACAGUGGUGCCACGCAUCACUUGACCAACAAUAUGGCUAACAUGAAUGUCAGAGAAGAAUUCAAGGGAUCAGAUCAGCUUGUUAUCGGCAAUGGUCACGGUUUGUCUAUAACUCAUGUUGGUGAUGCAUGCUUUACUUAUAAGGGAUCAAAUGUUGCCUAUAAAUCAACACAUAUUUUGCUCAAAGAUAUGUUAUUAGUGCCUGAUAUCACAAAGAAUUUGCUAAGCAUAUCAAAAUUGACCACUGAUAAUAACUUGUCCAUUGAAUUUACUGGUGAUGUCUGCUAUGUGAAGGAUUCUCUGACGAGGCAAGUGCUUCUGAAAGGACUUGCUAAGAAAGGAUUGUAUAAACUGAUUCUCAAGCCAUCUGAGUCUAUUCCUUCCUCAUUCAUGUGCCAAACUUCUCAUAUUCAACCAUUGUCAAUGUUGUCUGCAUGUUCUCUUGGUCCUCAUGUUUUGAAUAAUACUCAGAAUAAUAAUCUCAGUUCUGUUUCUCUUUGUAAUGCAUCAGACAAUAAAGUUUACAGUCAAAAUUCAUCUUGUAAUGGAUUAAAUAAUAAAGCACUCCUUCUACACAGACGUUUUGGUCAUCAUAACUCUCAAACACUAAUGCAUUGGCUGAAAAAUAAUGCUUCUAUUAAUCUCUCAAGUAAUAGCAUAAAACAAGCACUGAAUCAAAUUUGUGAAGCCUGCCAGAUGGGAAAAUCUCAUAAACUUCAUUUCCCCAUUACAGAAAUCAAAACAACUAAGGCUCUUGAACUUAUUCACACAGACUUGUGGGGACCCUCACCCAUCCCAUCUAGAGAUGGAUACACUUACUACAUAAGUUUUGUGGAUGAUUUCAGUCGUUAUACUUGGAUCUAUCCCCUCAAAUUGAAAUCAGAGGCAUUCGAGGUCUUCAAGCUAUUCAAAUUGCAGGUUGAAAACCAACUUAGCACCACCAUUAAGAACCUGCAAUCUGAUUGGGGGGGGAGAGUAUAGAGCAUUCACUCAUUUCUUAAACCAGUGUGGAAUUAUCUUUAGACACUCUUGUCCCUACACACAUCACCAAAAUGGAGUAGUUGAAAGGAAACAUAGACACGCUAUUGAGUUAGGACUCACCUUAUUGGCACAAGCCAAGUUACCUUUCAAGUUUUGGUGGGAUGCUUUUCAUAUAGCUGUGUAUCACAUUAACAGACUACCAUCUACAGCCUUGAAACUUAUUACUCUAUAUGAGAAAAUAUUCAAUCACAAACCUGAUUAUAGUAUGCUCAAGUGCUUUGGUUGUACAUGCUAUCCUUACUUAAGAGAUUACAAUAAGCAUAAAUUCGAUUAUCACUCAAGCAAGUGUAUUUUCAUUGGUUAUAGUCCAUCUCAUAAAGGAUACAAGUGUAUGCAUCCUUCAGGUCGAAUAUACAUAGUCAGACAUGUUGUUUUUGAGGAGUCUACUUUUCCUUAUUCCAUAGAUUCAGUUUUUCAUUCUACUGAAUCAACUCCUCAUUCAAGUCAAUCUUUCACACCUCAACAAGUAUAUUAUUUGUCAACAUUACUAGUUUCAGUUACUGACAACUCAUACAAUCCACACUCUGCAAGUUCUAUCAGCAACAGCUCUCAGAGUUCAGACAAUUCAUCUCAUACUGUAACCAAAACCUUCCUUUACAGCAACAUAUAUCAACUAGUGAACCACCUACAGAACCAUCCAUAGAACUACCUACAGAGCCAAAUACUUCAAUACCACAACCUGUACCUUAUCCAUCAUCAUCUGUUCAACCUAAUAUCCAUUCCAUGACUACCCGAAGCAAAGCUGGUAUCUUCAAACCUAAACUAUAUACUGCAGCUCUCAUUCACAAAGAACCUGAUUCAGUGUAUGAGGCCAUGCAAAAUCCAAAGUGGCUUGCAGCCUUAAUGCAGAACGGUACAUGGUCCCUAGUGCCAAGAAUAGCUGAUCAAAAAGUAGUUGGGAAUAAAUGGGUGUACAGGGUGAAAUAUAACACUGAUGGAAGUGUGGCCAAAUACAAAGCUAGAUUAGUAGCUAAGGGAUUCCAACAGAUUAUGGGAGUAAAUUGUUUUGAAACAUUCAGCCCUGUCAUAAAGCCAGCUACUGUAAGGGUAAUUCUAAGUUUGGCUGUGAUGAAUCAGUGGAAGAUAAGACAAGUUGAUGUGAAUAAUGCUUUUCUCAAUGGAGAGUUGACUGAGGAAGUGUUCAUGGAUCAGCCAGAGGGGUUUGUUGAUGUUGAAAAACCAGAAUAUGUGUGUAAGCUUCAUAAGUCUCUAUAUGGUCUUAAACAAGCUCCAAGAGCUUGGUAUGAUAAGUUGAGAUGAUGCCUGUUACAGUGGGGAUUUAUGAACUCCAGUUCAGAUACUUCUUUAUUUCUAAGAAGAAGUAAGUCAUCUCUGAUCUUAAUCCUCAUUUAUGUUGAUGACAUUCUAAUAACAGGAUCAAAUAGCUCUGAAUUAGAAAGCUUUAUUGUUGAAUUCAGCACAAUGUUUGCUCUAAAGGAUCUUGGAGCUCUCUCUUACUUCUUAGGAAUUGAAGUGUUGUAUGACACAGAUUGUAUAUACUUAUCACAAAGGAAAUAUAUAAGGGACUUUUUAUCAAAGGUUGAGAUGAUAAAUUGCAAAGAUGUUGAAACUCGUAUGAGUACAGGAUUGAAGAUGCUACACAUUAUAGAAGCAUCGUUGGUGGAAUGCAGUAUUUGGUUCUGACAAGACCAGAGAUUGCCUUCAGUGUGCAUAAACUACGUCAGUAUGUUUCUGCACCAACAUUGCAGCAUCUCAUGGCAUGCAAACGGGUGCUGAGAUAUCUGAAAGCAACACAGAAUUAUGGACUCAAAUUUGUUAAAGAGGGUGAUAUGAAGUUGACAUGUUUCACAGAUGCAGAUUGGGCAGGGGACUUAGAUGACAGGAAGUCAGUUGGUGCUUAUUGUGUCUACUUGGGUCACAAUCUGAUAUCUUGGUCAUCCUAGAAGCAACCAGUCAUUGCUAGAUCAAGUGCCGAAAGUGAAUACAGAUCACUAGCUGCAGCAAGUGCAGAGAUAAGUUGGUUGCAGUCUCUGUUCUCUGAGUUAAAUUUGCAGUGCACAGAAAAACCUGCCAUUUGGUGUGAUAAUCUUAGUGCCACGCAAUUGGCUCACAAUCCAGUUUUUCAUUCAAGAACGAAACAUAUUGAGAUUGACAUACAUUAUGUUAGAGACAAAGUACUUGCUGGAGAAUUGAGCAUCAAGUAUGUACCAAGUGAGGAGCAAGUAGCUGAUAUAAUGACAAAGUCACUUUCAUUCAUAAAGUUCAACUACUUGAGAGCCAAACUCAACGUUCUCCCAUGUCCCUUGAGUUUGAGGAGGGCUGUGAAGGUAGCUCACUAUUCGAGCAGUUCAGUGAAGCCACGUUAACAGAAGGUUAUUAGUGAAAUAUAGAAGUUCGGCUGAGUUGGUUAAAAUGUCGUUAUACAUCUCAUAGUUCGUUAUGUAAAGUUUGUUAAUUACAAGUAGAAAUCACGUGUGAGAACUUUGUAUAUAAACGUGAGCUUUUAAACAAAUAAGAUAAUAAUGAAUCAACUGGAAUUUUCAUAGUUUCAUUUUCUCUAAGAUUUUCCUUUGAACCAAACAGUAUAUUUCUGUUCUUCUACAAUUCUUAACCUGCGGAGUUAGAAAAGAGUAAAUUACUCUUAUGGGACAAAGCAGCGAUACACAUGUAGCCGGGUAGCAACGAGUAACUUGUAUAUAACCAAAAAUGCUUGGAAAGCUUGUAGAAGCAUGAAGUUUACAUAUCAGCAGAUUGAUGCGUGUUCAUGUCUAUCUUGCAGCUGUUUGUAAAAGUAAGAAAUGGAUUAACUUAUCGAAAAUAGACCAUAGCAACUCAGAAAUUUGUUUCUCAAUUUCAAUAAUAGCUAAUCCUAUAUUCCUAUAUAUCUUGCCGCUAGCCCUACACGAGUUUCAGGGGCAACAAUACGUGAAUCAGCCUUCAUCAUCAGAGUUGUUAAAUGUUAUUUUUUUAGCCUUGGGAGCAUCGGCCAAAAUUUCUCUGAAGUGAGCUCCAUACAGCUUGGACUCCUGCAAUGCGAGGAGGCACAGAGAAAACUAAUUCAGGGCAGAAAACAGAUGACCAAGCAUGCUUGCACAACAUUUCCAAACAUAUGUGCCAAGCAACUGGAUACACAGCAAAUCGAAUGAAAAAAAAAAUGUAACAAAAAGGAUAGAACCGUACACCUUCUUCUUUACAUGAGUGCCAAAUUUCAGAAGAGCAUCUGGCACAACUUGUCUAGCUUCUCUGAGAACAUUCACCAGCUCCCCAGCAAGUGCCUGAAAUAGCAAUGUCACUAGCUAAAACAAAAUAUAGGCCAUGUAGCACUGAACAUUACCAUCUGGCGAGCUGAACAAUUUUAAGAAUUUUUCCCAAGUCAGGGAAAUGUCUGUGAUGAAAAUAUUUAAUUUGGAUUGAAAAUGUAUCCAAACAAAUUCACAUAUAUAGGAUACAAAAGCCCAAAUACAACUACAAUUGACACUGCAACAAUGAUCAAAAGAUGAAGACUUGUACACAAUAUUACAUCAAACACCCAUCAAUAAGAGAUUUCCAGCCCAGCUUCUUCACUAAUUACAUUUUUUUAGAUUAUGUUUCUCUCACUCUAUACUUCUGUUACCAAAAAAGAAAAAAAUUAAAGGUCACUAAUACAAUACAGUAAAAAAAGGAAAAAAAAAAGAAAAACAAAAAGGUUUUGGAAUGUAAAUUAAAGGGCACAUAAGUAUUUGGCCACUUAAAUGUCAUUGUCUGAUGUUAAUAGUUUUUACAAGGUGGCCAUCCCAAAUAAAAUAUUCUGCUUCAACACCUUGCUCCAGCUCAAAAGGACUUCAAGUGAUAAUUAUAAGGUAGAGAAGAAACAAAAUCAUAUAUAACAUAUACCCAAAGAUAUCUUGCUCAAAAUAAAGCGAACUGGCUCUUUGAAUCCCAUAUCAAGCAUUCGGUCUGCUUCAUCAAGGACCUACAGAAAGUUUUAAACAUCAAGUCAUUUCAGAUUAUAUUUAAUACUUAUUGUUAAAAGUGAAGUUACUUAUUGUUAAAAGUGAAGUUUUUACAAACUCUGCUGAUACAAAGCACUAUUACUUAUUUUCUGUACUCCUCUUAAAAUGUAUUGCUCUUUCUUCUACUUCUAAUCUUGCUCAGUUUCAUUUGGAUUCUGUUUAGGAAUUUAGGAAAUCUUACAAAAGAAUCCAUCAUCCCUUACAAAGUUAGGAGUUAAGGAGCUAAUUUACUGAUGGCAAAGCCUUUUACAAGCUGUAUUAGAACUUCUAGUUAUCUUUCCAUUAAAAAGAAACUCCUUUGAAAAUACUCUAGUUUUGACGCUAGGAGGGCUCAAGGGACUCUUGAGGUUUUCUACCUUUUCUCAUCCACUUUAUUCAUCCCAUCUUGUAAUAAUUUUGAUAACUUUGCAAACUUUAUCUCCAACUUAAUAAGCCAGAGAUAAAUUCCAAUUAAACCCACCCUCAAAUAGAAAUAAGAAAAUACAACAUCAAAGCAGCAGUGCUAUUUAUAACUAAAUCAAUACAAACAGUAAUUAGAAGACCAAUACUCUAAAUGGCUGUCCUUACCACGAAAGAAACCUCCGAAAGGUGACAGACAUUCAUUUCAAUCAAAUCUAUCAAACGACCAGGUGUUCCAAUCACAAUGUCCUGUGCACACAAGAAAGAAAAUGUCAAUUACUAGGUAAUUAUAAGAAAAUCUUGCAUAUGGAAAGUGCCAACUACCACAUCAUAGAAUAAUAUAUAGGGGCAAUCAAGAAAAUAACUGUAUGCUUCCAAUGAUAAUAAAACGGACAAAUUAUCUCCAAGCUAUCGGCAAGACUUAACUAGAUCUCCUCAUGAUCAAUAAAAUUAAGGCAAUAGAAAUCUAUCUCUGUGUGCCACACACAAUCUAAAAGCAUCAAAUGAAUGAUAGCCAACCUUGAUAUCUUCAUUUGCAAUGCUAUUCUAGCAUAAGAAUUGUAAAGAUAGCCGUACAUAAUUUUUGACAGGAUGUAUAGAGUUACAGUAUAAUUAAGAAUUGGAGUUGUUAAAGCAGAUUUAAUGGGCUAAUUUAAGAAACAAGCAGUAGACAGACCUGACAAAUGAGAAUUCAAUGAUGAAGAACCAUAAAAGUGAAGGAUAAGAUCAGAAGGAAAACUUGGGAAACAUGCCUCAUAAAAAACCAAACAACUGCCAGAUUCUAAUACUCUAUAUCUUAUGAUAUGCAAAGAUCAAACUGGCAUUACAAGACUUGAAUUAUGCCUUAAAUUCUCAGAGGACCACAAUCUAAAGUAAUUACAUAAAUUUGAAUAACAAAGCAUCAAUUACGAAUAACUAACAAUCCAAAUUUAGAGCCGAUUCAGACCUAAGACUAUAAAAGACAUCAUGCAAACUUCAUAUCCGUUAAGACACAUACGGUUGGAGUCCAAAAUGGUCUAAUAAACAACCGAACAGAGAAAACUAAGUAAAGCUAGCCAAAAACAAAUAGAAAGAUGAAAUAGAAUAACUUACAACACCAGGACUGUAAGGCUGUAAUUUGAGGUUGUUUCGAGGUUCCUCCAUGCACACAAACAGACCUCACACCACAAGAUUUCCCAGCAUCAUGCAAAACAUCAUAAAUCUGCCACCAGCAAUGAAAGUCAAUAAUUGAGUUCAUGCUUUGAGGAAUGUUUCUCAUAGCAUCAACUAAACAAGUAAGAGAUAACAUAAACAUGGAUGUAAAGAAAAAUAGGCAGCAAUACAACAUCAUCAAAAAAUAUGUAAACAAAUGAGACAGGUACACUCUAAAAGAUCAUGCUUGUUUCAUACUGCAGUAACAGAAACACAGCACAAACAAACAUUUUACCACUUAUAUACUCUCCAUAGCUCCUGAUGGAUAUAUUUUUUUUAACAUUCAAUUAUAAUUGCAAGAUAGAAGCAGCUUUUUUUCUUUGAUAGAUAAGGAUAAGUGGCUUGAUUACUCUUACUGCUACUCAACAAGUAUCUAUGUUACUGCAUGCCUGGACUAGAAAAAUAAUAAAAUGGCUGAAUUCCUAGAAAAUCCUCGUGCUACAUUCUACCAUGAAAAUCACAGAACUACACAUUCCAAGAUGCAGUCUUUCAACCAUUCAAAAUGUAUCAUUUGUAAUCUAAAAGCUGAAACUUCAGCACAAAUAAUCACCUACAGUCACAAUACCUAAAAGCAGAACAGUGGCAUAUAGGUACAUGCUUGGUCAGCCAACUCCCUGGUGGGUGAAAGCACAAGGCAAAGUGGAUUCACCCUCUUCCCCACCGCCUUCCCCCUUCACUUACUCAACACAUGCAUCAUUGCCGGCACCCCAAAUGCUAUUGUCUUACCUAAAUUACCAAAAAUUACACCGUAAAUCCACAACCCACCAGGAAAAAAAAAAAAAUCAAAUCAAUAUACCCACCUGAGCCAUUGGUGGUUUCAAUCGCUUCAAGCUUUCGUUUUGGAUUCAGUUCGUUUUGUUGUUGUUCUUCUUCUUCGGAUUCAAUCUCUUUGUGCUUGUUCUUCUUCAAUUCUUGUAAUAGAAAAUUAAAUUCCUGUCCUCCUUCAAUUGCCUGCGAUAUGUGCUGGCAAUAUCCCAAAGUGAAAAAAGUGAUCAUUUUGAUGUUUGCUCAAUCCAAGUAUAUGGUUGACCUUUAAACUCUCUACUCCAGCCCUAGCCAUAGCAACGACUCAUUACUCAUGGAAUUAACGAAUUUAUAGGGCAUUGGUAGACUAGUAAUAAUACUUUUGAAUCUUAUCAAUGUGAAUUUGUUUGGACAAAAUUCUGAAAAUCGUUCAUGAACUCUCUACACCACUCACAACAUUGCUCAUUGAUUGAUCUCUAUAUAUAUUUGGAUCCAAAAAGCAGCAGUUUCAUUGCAAUUUUAAUAGUUAGCUGUCAUUUUGUUCUUUAUUUUAAUUCUUUUCUUUAUUCUAAUUUUUUAAUCUCUCAGAAUUCGAGUCCCCCCUUUUUUUAAAAAUCUCAACAAAUCAAAAAAUUUAUUAAAAGAUGGACAAAUACCUAAUCAAUAGAACAUAGAGAGCCUUAUCCCUCGAGAUGACUAAGAAAUUGAUACAGUGAAAUAAAAAAUUAUCAAAUAAAAUACUAUUGAGACAACUAAUCAAAACGGUAAUUUGAAUUGAAUUGAGUGCCGGCAACUUAGGGGUAGACAAAAACCUGAGCCAAUCCGACCCAUCCGACCGGAUCCGAAUAUUUCAUGCUCAGAUUAGAUGCGGAUUGGAAGAGUGACCCGAUCGGAUGACUUUUGGUCAAUCCCCUGCUCUUGCAUCAUCGAUCACUGACAGAUUAAAUUUGAAUUGAGUGCCUGCAAUCUUUCCAAAGUAAAAAGAGGGGAAAAACAAAAACAAAAAUAUGUUUGAUAAUUUUGGUAAAAAAAUUUCUCAACUUCUAGGAUGAAGGGGACGGACCAACGUCCCACGCCACAGGUUUCAAUCCCUUGUUCAUUCCUCCCAUAUACUGAGAUAGUGUAUCACCAUCAACACUAAAGGAGAAGCUGAAGGAAACCCAAAAUGAAAACAGGUUUGUUCUUUUUGCUUCUCUCUUCUUCUUCUUCAUUUCAUUGUUCAUGAUGGAGCUAAAUCUCACUGAGCAACUUCCUAGCUUAUGAAAUGAACAUUCCAUUAUCAGUUUAAAAUGCAAAAACAUUUAUGCAACAAAGAAAUGAUGAUCAUUAUAGAACAGAAUUAUAUAGGGAGAAUUGCGUGGGAAUUUCCUCCAAUAAAACUCAAUAUAUGCCUUAACUUAUAACAUUCUUAAAUUUUACAUACAUUUAUUCCUUAAAAAACUAGAGAAAGUACAAAAAUAACCUCAAUUAAAUCCUUAUAAAACUGAACUCACAUCCUCAAAGUCGGAUAAAUAGUCGAGAAUACUCAACUUCAAUCAAAUCAUAUAUAAUUAGUAAUUCAGCAUAAAUUCUCAACUUUUCCAUGUUAGUCGGGUAAAUAGUUGAGAAUACUCGACUUCAAUUAAAAUAAAAUAUUAUUUGGAGAAAUCUAAACUUUUUUAUGUAAGUCGAGUAAAGAGUCGAGAAUACUCGACUUUAAAUUAACCUUGCCCAAGUAUUCAUUUAGCAAAAUUUCUCGACUUUUCAUGAAAGUUUAGUAACUAGUGGAGAAUAUUCAACUUAAAUUGAAAUAAAAAAAUCUUAUUUAAUUACGUCAGGUAAAAAGUCGAGGAUACUCAACCUUAAUUUAACCUUAUCUAAAUAUUUAAUCAGUAAAAAUUCUCGAUUUUUCGUGAAAGUUCGGUACUAGUUAAGAAUACUCGACUUAAAUUGAAAUAAAAAAAAAUCCCUUUAAUUAAGUCGAGUUAAGAGUCGAGUAUACUUUACUACUAGGCUUACUUUUACUCGACAUAUUUCUCGACUUAAUACUCGACUUACAUCAUAACUGACUCGAUUUACUUCACUUCCUUACUUGACUUCCUGCUCAACUAAAUACUCGACUUACUCAACUCCCUUACUUCAUUUCUUGCUCGACUAAAUACUCGACUUCCUCCUUAAAUGAUUUUUCAAUCACUCAUAACUUAAAUUAAUGUCUUAAAUCCUUACAUUUUAUCCAAUAGUUUGUGUAUAUGUGUAAGCACAAAAAUGAAUAAUGUACAAUUAAACUCAUAAAUCAUUAGCAAAUAUACUUGUAAUGAAAUCAAAUCAAAUCAAACCCUAAGCAUACAAAAUGUUUACAUUUCAAACAUACAUUAUUCAUCACUUGAUUAUGCACCUUUUGAAGCGUUUAUAUUUAUCAAAAACCUUUGUAUUGGAGGUAAGAGAUGAAAUAAUGAGAGAGGAAGAAAAUGGUGAGAAGAGCAAAUCAUGAGAGAUAAAUGGUGGGAGGAACUAAUUGUAAGAGAGGAAGAAAAUGUAGAUAAAUAGUUUUUUAAGGAUAUUUUUUACUUUUUCCACCUUCAUGGGGCAUAUGUAUGUAAUAGGGUAUAGAUUUGAUAUUUAGGAGCAAAUUUGGUAUAUUCAAAUAAAAAACCCUUUUCAAUAUUUAUCGUUCACUAACCAAAUGAAAAUAAUAAUAAAAAAAUAAAGGAAUAAGCACCGAAAUAUCUUCUUUUUUUUUUAGUUACUAGAGGUAGAGUCUCACCACUGGGGCAAUUUUUUGGAGUGCCAAGCAGAAAGAACAUUUUAACAUAAAAAAAUGUUUAUUUUGAAAGAAAAUGAUUUUUAAUAUAUAAAAAUUUUGUUGUACUAAAAAAAGCUUUUAACAAUUGGUUGGUAGAACGCUUUUUGUUUGUGGCCAGUUGAUAGAACAUAAAGACUUUCUUCUAUAGUUAGAUUUGUUUAUUUUUCUUUUUAUUUUAAUUUGUUGUUACAUUUUAUCUAUUUUGCAAAUUGCAAUGCCCAUAUGUGAUAAACUCUAACUAGCAAUAUUUUUUAUCAUUAGCCUUAUGACAUUUGAAACAAGGCAUAUAUAAUUUCAAUUUUAUAAUUGCUGUUUUGUUAUUUUAAAUUAUUAAAAAUUUAGGCCUUUAAAUCAUUAAUAAUAGUGAAGAAAAUUGAGCAUAAUGAUAACAGUGGGUAGUGAAUCUAGAUGCUAAGGCUGUUGGGAAAAUAUGCUUUUUAAAAACAUAUGUGUUUAUUUAAUUGUAAUAAACAUUUUUUCUGAUUAAUAAAAUUAAUGAGGUAUUUUAUUCAAAUAUCUUAAUUGCAUUAAUAUUUUGAUCAAAGUCCAUUUAAUCAUAUUAUGUGUAUUUAUGUAAUCACCAUGUGGAUUCACAGAAGACAUAAAUACAAGUUAUCUUAUGAUUACAUAAAUUUAGUUCGCAGUUGAUAAAUAAAGUUGGGCACUUUAUUUAGGUAUAGAUUGUAAUGAAUUCAUUGAAUGAUUUGUCUUAAUCAUGUAUGAAUUUAUUGAUGUAGUACGACUACAUUGAACAGGAUCACAUAUGAGAUUUAAUUAACUUUGUAAUAACUGUCAGACUUAUUAAAUCUCAUAGGCAUUGAUUUUAUUGUAAUCUUAAUCUUGAGUUAAUUAUGAUUUCAUGAUUGUAAUUGUUAUUCCAUUUGAGUUACCAAUGGGCACGAUACAUACUUGUGGUCAAGAUUACCCGGUAUCUUGGUGGGAGCAAUUAUGAGUAUUGGAGUUAUGGAUUAACAAUAUAGAAUUUGUACAACACAUCUCUUGAUGGGUUUUCGGCACUUGAUCAUAGAAUUCUCUGGCCAAAGUGUGUCAACAUAUUUAGUAUGUUGAAAAUGAUCAUUAGAGAAAACCAGUAAGUAUCAAGGAACAAGAUGUAGUUAAAUUGAUUGGACAGUUGAGAUAUUGAUUUAAUUAAUGAUGUGGUACAAAAGAUUGUGCAGUAAAGAAAUAAAUGUGGCUUGGGACGAAUUAUUAUUCGAGCAUACAAUUAUGGAGGUCAAUUCCAAUCUUUUAGUGGAGUAGAUUUGGAAUUAAAUAAUUAGGCUAGUUUAAUUACAUGCCUAAUUGUUAUAGCCACUAUUGUAUGUUCCCAAAUGAUCCCCGAGUUAGCUCAUUUAAUUGACUGCACCACUACUGGAUUAAUAAGCAAGAUAACUAGCUAUUUGGGUCAAAAGCCUAAAUAUAUCAUUUAGUGGGAGGCUCCAUUUAAUUAGCUUGUGUGUAAGGGGCCUUAUGUUAUUUUACAAAGUGGGUCUCCUAUGGAAAAAGCAAGUAACGUGAGUUUUGUUUUUCAUUAUUUGGAGCCUAGGGUUUUCACUAAAGGGAGAUAUAAAAAGGCUUAUUUUCUCUAAAGAAAGAGGGGAGUAGUCACUUUAUACAGAUCAGAGAAAAAGAUUUUUCUCUCUAUUGUUGAGAGAAAAAUUUUCUCGUGCUAGUUGCUUUGGUAGUGAUAAAGCCACCCACACGUCAAGUGCAGAUCAAACCUGAGUCAUAACCUGGAAGAUCAUUGGUGACAGUUCGUGAUCUGACAAGCGUGGUGGUGACGGAUCGUGAUCUAACAGGAGUGGUGGUGACGGAUCGUGAUCUGGGAGCCUAAAUCACUUCAGCGGAAAAAGCUAAAUCAGAUUUUCAAGGUACGAUUUCUAGAUUACAAAUUCUUAUAUAUUAUAUGAGAGCGAUCUUAAAAAAGUUUUAUAAAAAUUUAAAAACUGAAUUUUCCCCAACAAAGGCAUGUGAGCAAAUCCCGUUGUUGUGUUCUUUUGACAUUGAAGUGAUUCACGGUUCAUGUCACUAGUAUAAUUGUUUUGCAAAAAUGUAAUUUAUUAGUGAUAGUUUAUGUCAUCGAAUUUUCUGCGACAUAUAUUAGUUCGAUCGGUUCGGUUUUUUAUUUAAUAAAGAAUUGUUAUGUAUCGUUAGUACUCACUUGCUUGAACGCGCGCGCAUUCUAUCUGAGUGCUAACUUUAGUGGAAGGAUGAUCUGAAAAUCCUAUAUAGAGGAUUAAAGAAAUAUAACUUUAGUACCAAGUCAGAAUAGAAAUAAAAAAGCGCAAAACUAAAAUAUUGAAAUUACUUAACUUAUUUUCAAAACAUACUUGGACAUCGAAAUGUUGAGGUUAUCCCUUAUCGAUUGUGGAAGGAGCUGACGAUGAGUUUAUAAGUGUGAGAGAAAUUCUUAUCUUUUAAGAUAGUUUUUGGUAUUAAAAAAGGUUCAAAACUGCACCAAAAACAGAUCAAAGUAUAUCAAAAUAUCAUCACAGCAUCGUUUUCCAGAAGUGUUGACAAAAAUUUAAAAAUAUAAAAAAAGAAAAUCCAAGAUCAAUUGUUUGCCGAAAAUACUUAGAACAAAAAUAAAUGAAAACACUUUGCCCAAAAUAAUUGAGAAAAAAAAUUUAAAAUCUAGUGAAAACUAAAAAUAGAAAUUGUUUUCCGAAAAUACGUGAACAAAAAUAAAUGAGAACACUUUUCCCAAAAUUAUCGCGAAAAAAAUCCAAAAUUUAGUAAAAAUCUGAAAACAGAAAUUGUUUUCCACAAAUGUUUGAACAAAAUAAAUGAAAACACUUUUCCAAAAGCAUUGACAGCACUUUUAGAAUAAUCAGAGGAAAAAAAAAUCAAAAAUCUAGUUGAAAACUAAAAACAGAAAUUGCUUUCUGAACAAAAAUAAAUGAAAAUACUCUAAAGAAAAAAAAUACAAAAUCUAGUAGAGAACUAAAAAUAGAAAUUGUUUUCUGAAAACACUUUGAAUAAAAAAUAAAUGAAAACACUCAGGAAGACAUUAAGCUAAGAACAUGAACGGAAAGCACAUGCAACACUUAUUAGAAAAGCUAAAAAACACAUGAGCAGAAACAUAGAAAUAUAGGUGGCUCUUCCCCUAAGCAAUAUAGGCGGUUGUCUAAGGCCCCACUAUAAAUGAAAGUCUCUAAUUUUAUUGCUAAAUUAUAGCUACUAAUUAUUAACUUAUUAUUUUAUAAUUAUAUUUUCUAUAAACAAACUAUUAAAUUCUUACAAAGUUCCCAACAUUAUAAUUAACAAUUUUAAUCCCAUUUAUUUCCUCCGUAUAUUUCAUUUAAAACUCUAUAAAGGUCACAUAUAUUUUUUUAAAAUUAUUAUCCAUUAAUAUAUUUUUCCAAUAAAAAAAAUACAUGAAACCUUGUUGCUUUGGUGAACAAACUACUUUAUCUACCCUACUUUUCACUUAAGAAAAAAAAAAUUGUUUUACUUUUCAUUGAUUACUACUGCUCAAAGCCUCAAUCCAUCAAAGUUAAAGUUUUCAAAUUUUCAGGCGCUAUCUUUCCAUUCUCUUAUUAAUUAAUUAUGUUAUUCAGUAGUUUUUGUUUCUUUUUAAAAAUAUUAUUGUGUUCAUAGGUUGUUUUCUUGUAAUUAUCUAGUAUAAUUGUUUGAUUAAUUACUCUUGUUUCACUAGAAAAGAAAAUGUCUACUAAAAAAAUGUGCAUUAGGACACAAAAAACUUCAAAAAUAAGAGAAGAAUAGAAAAACUAGUUUAAUCUCAAAAAAGGAGCCAUUUAUACAAACUUAUUUAAAAUCAACUAUGUCACAGGAAAGAUAUAUUUGGAAAAUUAGAAUAUAAAAAUUUGAUUAAUAAUUUUGCAUCGUAGAUGCUAGAGAAAUUGAUUUUAAAUAAAUAAAAUUUGAAUAAAAUUAAUACAUACAUUUUACCUCAAAUUUUUUAAAAGGCCUAAAUAAGACAAUUUGCCUAAACCCUAAAAUAUGAUUGAGCUGCCCUAAAAUAUGAUUGAGGACACUAAAAAACACUUAACAACAAGGAACUUUGAAAAAGUUUGUGAAAACAAAGACCAUUGACAAACGAAAAUUAAAGUGAAAAUAGAAAGUGGUGAGAAAAUACAAACCUUGCGAACUUUGGGGCAGAAAAGUGCUAAAUGUGAAGAAACGAAGGGAAGAGAAAACCUGCAAAGAAAGAAAAUUAAUUAAAAAAUAAAGUAAUUACCUAAAACUAGAAAAGAUUGCAUGAACUCGAAAUGAGAAAUUCUUUUAAAAGGAAGAAAAUUUGAACUCGAAAGGCCAAAAUUUGCGAAGAAAAAACUAUUAAAACGGGGGAAAAAAAAGUCCUGAGAUUUCAUGCGUUUACUUUUGGAGAUGAUCCUUUGUAGUCUGUAGUGAAAGAAGCUGAAAACAAAAUAUAUGCAGAAAAACAAUGUAAGCUGAAAACAAAACUUUUGACAAUGAGUGCAGAUGAAGCAUGUAAAGCCCAUUUGAAAAAACAGAAAAAUCAAAAACAAAAAGAAAUAUGAAGCAUCGCCAUCUUCUCUCAAAAUCCUCUGGGCUCCCCAUCUCCAAGUCAACACAAACCCACAUGAUACAACUUGACCCAUUGUUGUGAGUCAGAUCGAGCUCAAUGAGACAGUAAGGGAAGAGACCCAGCCUACAGAAAUGGGAUAGGCCCAACCCUUGAAUGAGACUCAAGCUAGAGAGCAGCCCAGGACAGGUCAAGCUCGCGCGAGAAAGAGACUAGGAUGGCUCAAAGACUUGAAGAAUGUUCGAGAAUGCUUGAGAUAUCAGAGCAACAAAUAUUGUUCUGUUUUCAAUUAUUGUUUUGUUGUUAUCAUCAAUUUUAUUCCGUUAGUGGUUGUUUUGGAAGGCAAGAAUAUAUUUGUACUGUCAAAGGACCCGUGAGGGCAUUCAAGGAAAAAUAUCAAUUGUCUUCUUCUUCUCGACUUCGCCUGCUUUCUUUUCUCUGUAAUUCUCCUGUUUCAUUUCUUCUCUGUUCAAAUUCUCUUCCAAAUCGAUUAGAGCCUGCACUCGCUCAAAGAGUGGCGUAUCACCACACCUCCAAAUCUUCAAAACCAACAAUGUGAAUUUUCAGUCAUGAACCCAAGAAGAGAAAUUUACGACUCGUUUUCGACUCUCUUAACUAAAAAUGACCACUGCACUCUAUGUAUAUAGAGAGAGAGACAGAGAGAGUAUGUUAUAUGUAAUUUUCCUCGCUUUUGUAAUAAUUUUGGAGUUGUCAGUACAAAAACAAGACCACCACCAAAGAGGUUUACACGUGUAUUUCCUCACACAUGUGGUGUGCCGCCCAUUUCAUCAUCUCAGUCUAAGUUGAAAAUGAAAAAUAAAAAAUCACAGACUACAAUAAUUUUACUAUUAUUAUUAAACUAUACUUAGAGGAGCACUAAAUGCUCAUUAGUUUGGGCACCAUUGAGUUUGAUUCGGUUUUUAAUCGAAUUGAUCUGAAUUGGCUUCGGUUCUGUUCUCUUUAAAUGGUAAUCGAAUUGAAUUAAAAAAGAGAAUGAAUUGAAUCGAAAUUGAUUGGUUCUGCUUCGAUUUUUUUUUUUUUUUUCAAUCUUUGAUUUUUAGUAUGGUUUCAAAUUCGGUGGCCUGAAUAAAAAAUCAGCCAAAAAAUUGUUUCAUAAAAAAUGAACCAAACAAAUUUCUCAUUAUUAAACUGAAUCAAACAGACAGUUCGAAUCACAAUUUAUUCUGCUCCUGAGUUUAUUGCCUAAACCUACCCAAGUACCCAUCGUCUUCAAGCAAAAGACAAAGUUACUCCUUAUUUUCCAAAAGAUAAUUACUCAUUGAUCUAAUUGUUAUCAUUUUAUUCAGUUUUAUGUUGUUGUACCGCUUAUUUUAUUUUAUGUUUACCGGUAAAAUCAUUCCUCACCGUUUGUUUUCAAAGGGCCUGCAAAAUCACUUUUGUAUCCAAGUGUAAAAUAAAAAGGCAAUUUAAUCCAAUGAUAAUAACAAAGAUACCUUCUUAGAACUUGAUGAUGUGAAGCAUCACCCACCAAUCCAUACCAGUAAAAUUAUUCCUUGCCGUUUCUACUGCUAAGCUGUUGAUAUGCUGAUUUUGCCGUGAUACCAGUAAAAUAUAAAGGUAAUUGAAUUCAAUGAUAUAACAGCGAUACCUUUAUUAGAACUUGAUAAUGUGAAGUAUCACCCACCAUACCAUACCAAAUGGUUGAACUUGACUUUAAAAAAUAUCACGAUCUUAAUUCAUGUUGCUUAAAAACAUUCCCACUUCAAAGCUAGUUAACCACUCAAUGAACAAAGUCCAAAACCUUAAGGAAUCAUUUACUUUAAAUUGUGUUUUUAGUGACAUUUGUCUAUGAAUUUGAGCCUGAGGCUGAGAGCUAGAAAGGCUUUAGGUUAUAAAGGCUUUGGGUUAAUCUCUAGCACGUUUUCCAAAUAUUACAAAUAAGAUUUGUAAAUUUUAACGAUUUCCAAUGUAAAAAUUUUCCAUCUUAUUUAUUAUUGCUAAAAUUUUCCAUCUUAUUUAUUAUUGCUAUUAACUCAAUGGCUCUUUCAAAGUAUUAGAUUCGGUCCCAUGAUAAGGACAAAUUAAUUAAGGAGGAAAAAGGAAAGCAUAUUUUCUAUUUUGGGAAAAAUUAUUUUGAAUAAACACUAAUGACUAAUGUAAUCUCGAAGUUCAGAAAGGUGGUGUUGUCGCUUUCUUUCCAUUUAAUUUCCGAAAUUCUACGCUAGAAACUGAAGUAAUAAAAAUUACUGGCUUUAACUUUUUUUUUUUUGGAGUACUAAAAUUCUAAAGAGUUAAUUUGUCCAAUUUUUAAAAAAUUCUUUUAAAAUUCCAUUUCCAAUUAUUUUAAAUUUAAUGUUAAAAAUGCCCUCAUUUCUAAAUAAACACAUUUUAUUUGUUAGUUGGCCUACCAAUCAAUUCGGUAAUUCAGUGCACAAUUAUUAUCAAGCUUGAUUGGACUAUACAAUUCUAUCGAGCUAAAGUGACAAGCAUGCUUCAAUCACAUUGUAAAUUUAUAAUAAUUCAAUUCUCUCUUGAAACUUUUUAUUAAUUAGGGAACAAUGACUCAUCAUUUAAAUUAAACUUUGCUUUAUAGGAUCACAUGUCCAUCUUCAAAAUUCCUUAAUAGCUAUCUCUUCAUUGUCAUCAUUUUUAUCCACAUUAAUUAGCCUAUUCUUUUUCCAUUCAUUUUUCUUUAUUUUUGUGGUUUCUGGCUGUCUCCAACUCAUAUUUUAUCUUUUUUUUUGGGGGGGGGGGGGGGGGGCGUGUGUCCGGGCUGACUGAUUAGUGGGUCAGUAAUGAUCUAAGCAGUAAGCAAACAAAAUAUCAAAAUCAAAGUCACCUUAGCUUAUUAGAUUCAUUAAUUCUCAAUCUCAUUUCAUGGACCGUCAUCACAUAGAUGCAAUUUGGUUUAUAAAGCAAUAGAUGAAUUUCAUGAUGAGCUCUCAUGUACAGCUAGCGAUUAGUCUACAAAAUGCUGUGCUAUUUUGAUUUGAUGUAAUUUUAUAACCCUGCUAACCCUCAAAUUAUCAAUAAAUUAAUCUUCUAACACAAAAACAUUAAAGAAUAAUAAAAUAUAGAAUAUCAAUGGUCCCCUUGUUUCCCGUUUCUUACCCAUAUUUGAAAAAAGCAAAGACAGCAACGCUCCAACAUAUUUGGAAAUGGGUCCUUGCAUAUGCUAUCAUCAAACUGCAAAUUCAUACACCUAGACCUUACUUUCUUAGUAGUUGAGAAACAAAAUAUCACUCCAAUAAAAAUGGGCCUUCAAAGAGCACACUAAUGACUCAAAAGAACAUGCGUGGUUCUUUUUUAUGGGACCUUACUUUGAUGGCUAAUGAGGUAUUGGCUAGGUUAAGGUCUAGUGUUCCCUUUUUAGUUUCACUUCACGUCACCCAAGUGUAUUUUGUUCACUUACCCUAAUUCUUGUACCCUUAUCUCUGAAUGCAUGAAUACAAAUUUGUAAAAAUCAGAAUACCUAAAAUCCUAGGCAAAUAAAUUACGGAAUUACAACACAAAAUAAAGCAAAACAGUUUGUCGAAAAACCAUUUGCAUGCCUAGAAAGUAAAACUACAGGUUUGUGAUAAACUUUCCUCUCACCAAAUAAAAGGAGAGAAAUGCAUGAGACAGAGCAGUUGUAGUAUGCAUUACAACUAUUUUACUUGAGAAAACUUGCAUGAGACAUUUUAGUGAGUCUAUCUAAUGGUACUGUCAUUUAACAGAGCUGUAGAUUUAUUGUGGAUCUCAUUAUUUUUUAAAUACAAAAUUUUGCAUCUCACUUCUAAAUUUAUUUACUAUAAACAAGCUCACUACCUCAACAUGUUCCCUCAUGCAGAUUUUUCUCAAAGUUAAAGAGUGCACUGCAUACAAAACUAGCUAAUUGAUUAGCCACCGCAUUAGAUAAAAAUUCAUUGAUUGAACCAAUAAACGACAAGUGAGCCAACGGUUACGCAAAACCCAAGGGGAUCCAAAUGAGGAUUUGUAAAUGCACAAACCAACUGCGAGUCACAUUCAAUCCUUUGGAAGCAGCAAACUCAAUCACCAACCAUAUAGCACCCAUAAUAUCAGCAUUUAAAAGCCAACUAAUUAAUUACAAUGACUACUUUAGUAUCAGUUUUUGGAGUUAUUCUCAUAAAACCGAAUCCAUUAAUGUCUCUGUUUGACUUGUAUGUUGCAGUAUUUACCCAAACCACAAAUAACCCCUAAAAUAAUAUAAAUAGUAGCAAUAACGAUUUGUUCAUGUAUGUAGACUGAAAGCUUUAAUGUACUGAAAGCUUUAAUGUAUAAUGAACUUUAUUAUAGAUAUCUAUGUGGUUACCUUAAUUUAUUAAAAUGCAUGCUCCAUCGAAACCGGCUCCAAUGUCAGCGUCGUUCUUUCGGGUACUGGUUUCAAAUUCAAUGGACUGAAUAAAAAAAUAAGACGUGUAUAUUGGUUCACCAAAAAUCGAAUCAAUCAGUUUUCUCAUUUAUAAAACUGAAUCAAACUGGCAGUUCGAAUUACAAUUUAUUCGAUUCAUGAGUUUAAUUGCCUAACCCUACCGAUCGUCAUAGAUCUAAUGAUGCGUUUACUUCUUGGAAUGGGAAUGGGGUGGAAUGGUAAUGAGAUUUCAAUGUUUACUUGAAAAAAAUAAAAUGGGAAUGGGAAUGUGCUGGAAUGCCAUUGAUGUAUUUACUUGGCAAAAUAAAUGGGAAUGAGAAUCAAUUUACCAAAAUACCCAUAGUAUUAAUAAUUAAUAAAAAUAAUUAAUUUAUCAUUAUUAACAAUAUUAUCAUUAUUGUUGUUGUUGUUAUUAUUAUUAAAAAUAUUAUUAACAAUAAUUAAUAAUAACUAAAAUAAUAAAGUUAAUAAAAUUUAAUAAUAAUAAAGUUCUGUUAAAAAUAUUCCAUGUUUAUUCCUUACUAAUCCUGCAUUACCUAAAAUCAUUGAACUGGUAUCAGAGCCACGGGGAGGAUAGUGUAAUAUAGAAUAGAGACGUUGUGUUUUAAGACUUGUGUUUUAAUUUAAAAUUGUUUAUGUGGCGAGUGUUUACCUCUGGGUGCCUUAGUAGUUUUUGGUCGUAAGUCCCGAUUUGGUUGAAGGGCAGUAAAACCAAUUCUUAGCCUUGGAUUGUAGCCAUACCGACAAGACUAAAACUAGAACAUAGUGUUUUGACCAUGGAUUCUCUUCUCUGUAGAACAUCAUUCUUUUCCAGCUCUUCUUCCGGGAAGACUAAAGAUUCAAAGAAUGUUGUUAAUUCAGAAGAAUUUGUAAUUGAAGACUUUAAUAAGGCAAUUGAUAAUUGGGAACUACCAAAGAUUUCUAAAGAAAUGAUUUACAAAACAAAAAAGCUUGAUUUUUUAAAGAAUGAUUAUGUGAUAAAAACUGAAGAACGUGACAUAACCCUUUCAAAGCCAUUUGAAACUAUUCACUUAUUUUCAGAACAUUCCUUAAAGAAAUUAAAAGAUAAAAAUUUUAAUUAUGUUCACAUCGGCCUAAUACAAGUCGGAAUAAAACCCUUGACUAAGGAAGGACUUAAUACCUCUAUUCUUGCUAUUUUAAGAGAUGGGAGAUUCAUCUCUUUCGAUGAUUCUUUACUAAGUAGUAUAUAAUCGAGUCUUUGUAAAGGACCUAUAUCAUUUGACUGUUACCCGAACAUAACAGUUUCCUUAAAAGACAAAAACAUACUGAAAAGCAUGAUCUUACAAAUCAAGACCCAUAAUUAUCAUAUGAUAGAAGGGUCAGUCCCAGUAGCCUUAAUCUUUAAAAUCUCUUACAAAGCCAUGAUUUCUGCGUUCAGUACGCAACAUAAGUUCCAGUUAAAAAGAGAAGAGACUCUUCUCUUACAGACUGAUCUGUCUAAAGCCAACACCGUUAUUCCAAAACCAAUCCAUUGGAAAGAUGUUAAUCUUCCAGACGAAUGGAUUCUUGAAGGAGCCACUGCUCCAUUGAUUCCAAAACAACUUGAGCCUAAUACAGAGUUGCAAAAUGUGACUUAGUAUUCUGAUGGUAAAGUCAAAUUAUCAUUUAGAAGAUCUACUUCGACUAGAUUUUCCGACAAGGAUUCUGUCUCUAGUAUCCCCUCAUUGGAAAGGAAAUUUUCAAAAAUUCCUUCUAUAAUAAAUCUUCCUUUCCAAAGUCAACCUAGGUUUUCCACUUCGGAUAUACCUAGUUCUUCUAUACAUUCUGUUGACUAUACCACUAGUGUUCCACACCCAAUCUACACUAGCAAUCAACAUGAACAAAGACAGAACGAGAAGGAACCUUCUCCUCCAACUUCUCCUACAUUUUCGGCUGUCAUAGAAAAUGUAAUUAGCGUCAUUAAAAAAGAUUUUGAAUUGAAUAAAACUCUUCUCCAUAAUGAUUUUUAUUCUGAUACUAAUAAAGAAAAAAGACUUUGAUUUUUCAAAAAUUUCUUAAAUCACAGAAAAGAAAUCCAACAAAUUUAUUAUGAAUUUGUAAACUUACAUCAAGUUCAUUUAUUAUUUUUUGAUUGGUUUGAGAUGUAUGCUUCAGAUAACAAAAUUUCUUAUCCUUUCAAAGAAUCAUAUCCCAUUACUAUUAGAAAGAAAAUCCCUGAAUGGAACCUUCCUGAUAGUGAUAGAACUAUAGAAUCUGAACAUCCACCUCUUAGGAGUUUGACCAUUAACCAUGGUGUGCCUCCUGUAGAGAUCAAAGCCUCACCUUAUAAAAUCCAUAAACCAAAUGAUGUAGAGAUAAAUUUAGGCAGCAUUAUUCAACAGAAUAAUUUCUAUAAUGCUAACCUAAAUACAAUAGGAAAACAUUUGACUAGAUUAGAAAACCAAUUCCAGAUGUCAAACAUAGAUGUUUCUCCUGUUACAUCAAAAUCGGAUUCUGACAAAAAACUUAAAGAGCCUAUUUUCAAGCCUUUCCAGGUUUCGAAAACUAGUCAAAAGCUUGUUCAAGAGUCAAAAUCAGAUUUUGCUAAAGCCAUUAGAGACCAACUAGAUAGAAUAAAAGCUUCUUCUUCAUCUAGUAAAAACCAGAUAGCCCCUGAUAAUGCCCAGUCUAGUAAGAUUGGUGUACUAGAACAAGACAAUAUGUCUAUAGCCUCUUCUGAUAUCGAAGCCUUCAAAGAUGAACUUGUCCCUAGAGCCAACAAAGUUCAUUAGGAAUUAGCCUUACCUACUGUCAAGUCUCCACCUGACUUAGCCAUAAAUAAUAGACAUAGUGCACUAAACCAAUCACGGUUUAAUGCAUCGUCUGUCUAUGAGUGGAAUAUUGACGAUAUGUCUGAAUAUAACAUCCUAGGAUUGUUGCAGCAGAUGACCAUGGCAGCUAAUGCUUAUAAAACCCAAUCGGAAACUUCUAACAAAGCCAUUGCGGAAAUUCUCGUUGCUGGGUUUACAGGUCAACUUAAAGGUUGGUGAGAUCAUCUUCUUACUAAACAGCAACAAUUAGAUAUUCUUAAUGCUAUACAGACGGAUGAGUAUGGAGCCCCCAUCUUAGACGAACUAAAUGACCUUAUUCAGGAUGCUGUUGCACCCUGAUUCUUACCACUUCCUUACAUUUCAUAGGUGACCCUUCUCACCUUAGAGACAAAAACGCUGAGUUAAAUUUAGGCAGCAUUAUUCAACAAAAUAAUUUCUGUAAUGCUAACCUAAAUACAAUAGGAAAACAGUUGACUAGAUUAGAAAACCAAUUCCAGAUGUCAAACAUAGCUGUUUCUCCUGUUACAUCAAAAUCGGAUUCUGACAAAAAACUUAAAGAGUCUAUUUUCAAGCCUUUCCAGGUUUCGAAAACUAGUCAAAAGCUUGUUCAAGAGUCAAAAUCAAUAAUAAUAAUAUUAUUAAAUUUUAUUAACUUUAUUAUUUUAGUUAUUAUUAAUUACUGUUAAUAUUAUUUUUAUUAAUAUUAUCAUUAUUAACAUUUAUUAUUAUUAUUAUUAUAUUUUAUAAACUUGAUUAUUUUAGUUAUUAUUAAUUACUGUUAAUAUUAUUUUUAUUAAUAUUAUCAUUAUUAACAUUUAUUAUUAUUAUUCCCCUUCGAGAGGAAUUCGUCAGGGUUGUCCUUUAUCUCCUUAUCUCUUUGUUCUCUGCAUUGAAUGCCUUAGUCAUGGGAUUCAUAAUGCUAUUAAUGCUGGAAAGUGGUGUCCGAUCGUGCUAUCUCGCAAUGGUACACCUUUAUCCCAUCUUUUUUUCGCUGAUGACCUUCUUUUGCUUGCAGAGGCUACUGUUGAACAAGCUAGAGUUAUUUCGGCUGUGUUAUCAGAUUUUUGUGGUUGCUCGGAUGCUAAAAUAAACACAAAUAAAAUUUGCUAUAUUUUUCCAAGAAUAUGGGUUCUACAGAUAUCUCCAGAAUUUCAGGUCUUCUGGGCUUCUCGGUUACGUCUGAUCUUGUUAAAUAUCUUGGGGUUCCUCUACAUCACUCAAGAGUCUCUUCCAGCAUGUUUCAAGAGAUCGUUGACAAGGUAGAGAAGCGGCUGUCAGGCUGGAAUGCUUCCCACUUGUCCCUGGCUAGUCGUAUCACUUUAGCUCAGUCAGUUCUCCAGGCUAUUCCCAUUUAUGUUAUGUAGACUAUUUCCCUUCCUAGUGGCGUCCGUGAGAGGAUUGAUAGGGCUUGCAGGAGGUUUAUUUGGAGUGGUUCAUCUCCUCAGCAGAAGCUCAGCAUGGUUAGUUGGCGUAAUGUGUGUAAGCCUAAAGCUUUUGAAGGCCUUGGCUUUAAAUCCUUGACUAUGAUGAAUCGGGCUUUACAUAUGAAACUAGCCUGGGGUAUAAUCUCUUCUCCUAACAGUUUAUGGGUCCAGGUCCUUACCACCAAAUACCGAGUUGAUCCCCAUAACCUGCUUCAGGUGCUUCUACCCAUUAUGGCUCUCAUUUGUGGAAGUCUCUUGGGCAUGUUUGGAGUGAGGUUCUUGCGAGUAGGCGCUGGAGUUUGGGUGAUGGAAAAUUUGUUAGAUUUUGGUGGGAUCUUUGGGCUACUAAUAAUGCUCCCUUAAUUGCGUGCGCAACAAACACUAUUCCUAUGGAUAUUUUGGAUUGCAAAGUGGCUGACUUCGUUGAUGUCAAUGAGAUUUGGUGUUGGUCCCGCUUUGAGCAAUAUCUUCCAAACCAUUUAAUUCUCAAAAUAGCUGCCCUUCAUCCCCCAUCACAUGCGAAGGGCAUGGACGCCAUUUUUUGGGCUCAUUCAAAGCAUGGUCAAUUUACUACGAACUCUGCUUAUUUGGUUCUCUCUUAUCACAAUCCAGCUACUGAAGAUGGAGUUUGGCGGUUGGUCUAGAAUUGGAAAGGCCCUCAGAGCAUGCGAAUUUUCCUGCUUAUUUGGCUCUCUCUGAUCACAAUCCAACUGCUGAAGAUGGAGUUUGGCGGUUGGUCUAGAAUUGGAAAGGCCCUCAGAGCAUGCGAAUUUUCCUGUGGCAGACGUUUCACGGUGGGUUGAAGACAAAGGCUGAGUUGGUCAGGCGGCAUUUACCCAUCUCUUCUCGUUGUGACCGUUGUGGGGCUGUGUGUGAAGAUGUUAUUCAUGCUCUUCGUGAUUGUCCUUUGGUAAAGCAGUUUUGGCUCAAUAUUAUUCCUAUAAGUAAAAGACACGGCUGUUUCAACUCUCGGCUUAACCAUUGGCUUCGUUCGAAUUUGAUUGAUGAUAGUAGGGUGGGGAAUGUUUCAAAUUGGGUAGUUUUUUUUUUUUUUUGGGUUGCUUUAUGGCGGAUUUGGUUUUGGAGAAAUCAGUUUAUCUUUAACCAAAUGAUAAUGGAGCGUUUGGCUUUGUUGGUGGAUGUCCGCACUCGAGCUGAGGAGAUUCACAAGCUUCAUAAUCACCCGUUGAUCACAAAGAACAUUAGGGCUCACAAGUGGAUUUCUUGGCAUCCUCCCGUGUGGCCCUGGUGUACCUUGAACAUGGAUGGUGCUCACAGGUUUCAUGGAACUUCUACUGCAGGUGGCCUGAUUCGGGAUCAUCUAGGGCGUUGGCUAACCGGAUUUGGGAUGAUGAUUGGCUCCUGCUCUGUUAUUGUCGCGGAACUUUGGGGUUUGUAUCAGGGGCUUUAACUUGCUUGGAAUUCUGGCAUCCGAAAAUUGAAAGUUGAAACGGAUAGCCUGUGUGUUACACAGUUGGUGGCUAGACCUUCGGUGAUGUCUAAUGAAUAUGCUCCCUUGAUCCAGGCUAUUAAGGAUUACCUUACUUUGGAUUGGCAAGUCUCCAUCUCGCAUAUCUACAAAGAAGCUAACUUCGCUGCAGAUUAUAUGGCGAACCUCGCUUUUUCUAUCCCUCUUGGGCUUAUUGUGUACCGUACCUCUCCUUUGGGUGUUAGGUCCCUCUUACUUCAUGACUCAUACAGGGUCUCUCAUCCCCCCUCUGUUGUUCUUUAGCUCUUUUUAGAGCCCCAGUUCAUCAAAAAAAAAAAAAAAAACCCUUAACGGCCUAUGAUUAACUCAAAACAAUUUUUUAAAAAGAAAAACUAUUUACUUGAACGCGCUUUAUUCAAAGACAAACCGUGUUACUGUUCACAGUAUUUUUUUUUCAUUUUUUACAACUUGAACGCGUUUUAUUAACUGAUUUUUUUUUAAUCUCACUUUCUUCUAAAAUAUCUUUGUCUUUGUUUCUCUCUCUCUCUCUCUCUUUUCUCACUCUUUUUUUUUUGGGGAAAAUUCACAAUAACUCUAUUCAAGCUCAAAAUUUAAACAAUAGUGGAUAUAAAGAAAUAAAAACAAUUGUUGGAAUAUAAUUAAUUUUUUUUUAUUUCAAUUGUUGGAACCGAUUCAUGAAGAUAUUAAAUUUUCAUAUAUAUGCAAGGAAUUUGACUUAGAUUGGAUUCGAUUUUUAUAGUGAAAUCUUGAUUUAGUUUUAUAUUUUCUUCUCUUUCUCUAAUUUUUUUGUUUUUUUGUUAGUAGGAAAAUUUUAACUUUUAUUUUCUCCACAUAAAUCAAGGAUUUGUAAUGGUCCAAUGUUCGUGAGAUUGGAAGAAGGAGAAGAAGGAAGAAAUUAGCUGCCCAGAAUAUUUUAAAUAAAAAAAUAACGAAAAGAAAGAAAUGUAAGAAGAAGAAGGACAAGAGUCUGACGAAAUUGGGAAAGUUUCAGCCAAUCCUAUAAUAAUCACACUACCAAACAAAAAAAAAUUCAAGGGAAUAAUAGAUCGUUUUAUACUACUAAAAAAAAGAAAGAAAAUAUAUAUAGCCCUUAAAAGCAAUUAUAACACAUGUCAUAAGAUCCUUACGAAGCUGAGCAAAAAAUAUAGGAUACAAAUCCGAACAAAUCAUGGUUUUUGAGGGUCCGCGGAGAUUAUUUUCUUAAACAGAUGGCGACUUCCGAAAGGGUUAAACCCUAAUUCUUAUGGCUUAAGGAGAUAGAUAUAACAUGAAAACCUAGCUUGCAAGAUAGGAUUAUUUCCCCUCGACGAUGAUCAUAUGACUAUGCAAGACGGAUCUUUUGAUUUUAGCCUUUUAGUGUGACUACGAUUAUUUUAAUUAUCUACACAUGCCACGAUAAUUUUCAAAUUAUCUACAUAUGCUUUAAAUAAAACAGACCAAGUAAUUAAUUCCGGUAAAUACCUUAGAAUCAUUACACUUCUUUUUGGAAUUCUCAUAAAACCGAACACUAAAUUGGAAACUAAUUCAUGUUUUUGGGUUGAAAGAGUUAAAGGAUAUUAUAAUUGAAAGGAGGUCUUAGUAUUCUUAUUGAAAAUUUAGGGGUUUACUUGACCAUUUUCUCAAUUCUUAAAAUUAUAGGUGUCUUUUUCCAUAAUAAUAAAAGGGUCAUAUAAUUUUAAAUGUCUUACCAAACACGUGUUAAUAAGAAAUUAAAAGUCAUACUAAACAUUAAAUUGCUGAUUUUAAAAAUGAAAUAAUGUACUAAAUCACAUUCACAGUUGGGUCACACUAGCUAUCAUGUUUUAAAACAGAAACGAAUUAAUGCGUACGCUUUGACAUAUUAGAACGAAUAAUACAGAUAAACACAAAGUGAAUGAAUGAAUAUUGAAAAUUUCUCGCAUUAUUCAUUGAACAGAAGAAAUGCAAUUUCCUCGAAAGCAUUUUUUUCUUUAUUAUUUUUAGCUAAAUUUUCUAUCCAUUCAACUUGAAGGGAAAAAAAAAUUCUACUUACAGAAAUACUUAAAACAAUAUUUUCAAACCUAAAUCACUAUCACCGCCUGAAGUUGUACUCCGAAGAAACUCGUGCAUAAUAAGAGAAAUUUGGUUAUGUGUGUAAAAAUUUUCUACAAUUUAGAAAAAAAAGAUCGAAUCAUAUAUAGUUAAUCAACUGAGCCAACUCAUGACUUUGUCCCCAUUCAUAAGUUUGCAGAUCCUUUUCUUGACCCAAGGUCUUUGCUUGAAGACCACUUCAAUGUCAGAACAAGGAAAAUCACCCUUUACAUUCCAUGUGCAAUUGUUUGUCCGUUUACAGUAAAAGUAAGUGCUAAAUUGAUAUCCGAUCCCAUGCGUGACUUCAAAGAGGCUUUUCACUUGAUUGUGUUUGUGCGCGUGGCCUCUCCAAGAAGCCAUCAAGAUUUUCGGGAAAGAAGGUAAGUAUGUCGAAAGAAAGUUUAUGAAUAUGAAAGUAAGAGUAAAUGUCCGUUUCCUCCCCAUAAUUUGAGACUUGAGCCAAUUACUCAGUUAGUCUAUAUAUUUUAAAAUGAAAAAAGAAUAAAUAUGUUUAUGCAAUGUAUUUGUUUCCGUUAAAUUCUAUUCACUAUAUCCAAUAACUAUAGAAGUAGCGACAGAGAAUUUUUGGUUAAUUUUUAAAACUUUAUGUAGUAAUUGAUGAUUGACUCAAACUACAGGUGGCAAAAGAGUAGUUUCCCCAGAAAGUAACUCUUUUUUGUGAAAAUCAAUUCGAAUAUAUACCAACAUCAUCAAAUACUUCAUGGAUCGUUUAAAGAAUAUGAAAUCAUACAGCUUUGAAGGAAAUUUUAUGCUUUACUUAGGCAAGAGAAUCCUUGCGUUAUAAGGUUGUUAAUUUAUGAGAUAUUUUCAAUAUACAAUUCCUUUUCUGGAUAUAUACCUCAAAAUUGUAUCUCAAAUAUUUUAUUUCAAAUACAAUGACAUUCAACAAGAUGUCAUAAUGCAAUUAAUUCACUUGUAACUUGUGAAAGUCUUUAAUUACCACUGGACAAAUGACACGCCAUAUCGUUUGUUAUAAGCUAAUCAAUAAAAAUAAAGAAAAAUAAGUUUUCUUCUUUUAUUGCUUGAAUGUAACAGCCUGCUAGCCUACAAAUGUACAUUCCAAAUUAAGUAAAACUCAUAAUGUUGCGAAAGAAAUCAUAAUUCUAUUCCUAAUGUCUCGUAUUCAAAAUUAAUGACCUAGGAAAAAACCAAACAGGAGAAGCUUGUCAGUAACAAUGAAACAACGAGAGUCAAUAGCACACAUCUUGCUUGUCAGUACAUCUUCCUAUGUUUUUAUUCAGGAGAAUCUUAAACCAAUAUUUGGUGGGUUCAAAUAGCCCUACCAUAUGUAUUUAUACCAUAGAACAUCAGAUGUACUCUAAAAUUUCUCUUUUAGAGAAUAUUUUGAUAUUAAAUUUUCCUUGAAAACAUUGCCUUUCCAAGUAGAUCUCACGUAGAACCAUGUAAAUUUUUUGUCCUAAUUUACUUUAUUAUUUUUCUCUUUUGCUAGCUAGAAACUUCGAUUACCUUGUUAUGAAGACAUCUCCAGUUUAGUAUAAACGAUGCUGCCACUUCCACGUCAACGUCCUCCGUAACGAUCAGCAAUGGUUCUUCCUAAUAAAAGAAAUUCAGCAAUUAAAAUUGUAAUCUUGUUCAAAAUUAAACUUACAUUUUUUUUGCCUAACAUGAAUCCUCUUUACAAAAUUCUUGUUCAAAAUUUUGUUUUCAUGGAUUAAAAUAUCCUUAAAUCAAAUUACAAUUAUGGACACUAAAAUAUUAUUAAAAAACAGAACUCUUACUCUUUGAAUCCACUUUUACAUUCAAUAUUAUAUUUUUUUCUUAAACCCUAAAUUGAUAUAUUUUUUUAUAUUUUUGAUUAAUCUCAGAACACAUAUAAAAAUGAUUCAUAUUGAUUUUAUAAUAACAAACUGUUAUAGCGCAUUCGAAGAUAAUUAACAUGUUCGCAUUUACUCAGUGAAAUGCAAAUAGCACAUUCAAAUGUUAAGGAAUUCGAGAGGUGGUGCUGGAGAUGAAACAUGUAAAUUCAACAUUAGAAACAAUUAUGUUUAUAAUCUUACAAUACCAAACAACGAAAAGCAUGGUAAAGAAAAACUACAUAAUUCUCACUUAGAAGAGGGAAAAAAAUGAAAUACAACUAGAAUGAGGCAGCCAUCAGUCAAACUAUUUCACCAUAACUAAUAGAAAAUAAAGCACGCGGAAUGGCGGCUGAAAGCAAGUAAUGAUAACCCUUUCAACGAACAAAUAUAUUUCAAAAUAAAAUAUCCGCCCUAACAAAAAAAGGAAAAAGAAUCAUUACAAAUACCUGUUAAAGAUAUCCCAAUUGACUCUAAUAUGAUUGAAAUAUUUGAGACUGAAGUGGAAAUAAUACUCAAAAUCAAUUGAGAGGAAUAAAUGAGAAACCCUAAUAUAAUUAGCAAAACUACUAUUGUUAUAUGAAUUGGGUUAGUAAGGGUAUAUUGGGUAUUUAGGCGGUUUUGUUGAGUAAAAUUUAAAAUUUUAAAAAUUUAGAGGUGGGUUUAUUUAGAAAAUGAAUUAAGUGAGUAGUUUGGUGGGUUCAAAUGGUCUCAUCCUUAACCUAAACAUCACCCAAUAAUUUCACAAUAAUUACAUCUAAACCAUAUCUUAUUUUACAAAAUUACCCCUUCAACCAUAAACUUUCUUGAACAUUUUUAUCUCUGUUAUGAAUUUAUUAAAAUAAAUGUGGAUGUUCAUAACAUAUAUCUCUUAGUCUCCCCACUAUCUCCCAAUAGCAACCUUUGGCUUCUCUAUAACUCCCACCAUCUCACAAGAAAUUAUGAUCCAUAAUGUUUCCAUUAAUUUCAUGGAGUGAUUAUGUAACUAUAAAAGGAGAGCUCGUCUCUUUGUUUUGUACACAGAAUUGGAAUGAAUGAAAUCACUUUAUAAUAUAUUGUUAUCUCAUUUUAUUAUUUAUCUUGUGUUGCUUCUUUAUUUGUGUGGCUGACUAAUAGCUUUUCUAACACAUUAUCAGCACAAGUCUCAAGCCACUAAAACGUAAUAUGAUAAUAUCUCUCCUUUGAUCUUACUCGAGAAGGUAUGAAUUAAACUAUCUUCAUUUGUCUAAAUCAUAUACAUAUGUUGCUUACGUAUUUCUAUAAUUUAAGAAUAAUGGAUCUAUGAAGUCGUUCCUUACUUCAUUUAUUAAUGAUUACAUAUAUCUUAUUAGAAUUGGAUUGUAACAUUUAUCUAAUGUUCUAUUAAUUGGUAUUGUUAUUGUUUGAUUCUUCUUAUUAUAAUAUUCAAUUGCUAUUAUAUAUUUUCCAUUCUUGAAAUUAAAAACAAAAAUCAUCCUGAAGUGUGAAUACUACAAUAUAUAAUGAAAGAAAACUAAGAAUGCAUCCUUGAACGAUUGUACUGCACACAAUGAAGAUUUUCUUUCAAAAUAUGUUCCUAAAGAACUAUUCCGAAAUUAUGAUGUUAUUCUCCAAUAUUUUGUUCAUAAAGGAUUCACUAUAUAAGUGUAUAUUUUAAAUGUUCCCGAAGGACUAUACAAAUAUUAUAAGUUCAUGUAUAUGUCAUGUAGGACUAUAUACAAAUUUUCUUCUCCAUAUCUCCCAGAAGGAGUUACAAAGUAAAUAUAUAUAAAUAACGCAUAAAUUUUUCUUUAAAAAAAUUAAGGAAAAAAUAUGACAAUCAAAAGUGUUUGAGUAAUAAAUGCAGUCAUUUUAAAAAAAAAUUGUUCGUUUUCGAUUUUAACAACUUCUUGACUUCGUUGGCUCAUUAUUUUGUUUUCAAUUUCUUAGACUUUUAGUGAUAGCUUUUUACAUGCUUAUUUUAUAUUAGAUAAUUUUCAACAAUAGUUUGACAUGAUAAAAUAUAGGAAUGAGUUGUAAGUGGCAUAUAUAUGUACUUGAACUUUUAAAUUGAUUAUUAUGUUUUUAUUGAAUUCUUGAUGAACAUUUUUUUAUUAUUGUCUUGAAUUACUAAAGUCUAAUUAAUAUUCACAUGUUUAAGAUCAUGAAUAGUACUAAAAUAUUUUUGUGGAAGAAAUCAAUCCCUAAAGGAUUGUAAAAGAUUAUGAUUUUCUUUUAUGAUCAUCUCCCUAAAGGAGCUAAAAAUUCAUAUAUAAGCUUGACGACAAAUCUCUUAUUUGAAAUUAUGUGGAGAAAAAACUCUGAAAGAAAAAGGACAUGAUUUUGUACGGCACAUAUGCUCCUGUAGUAGCAAAUCAAGAGUGCCAAUAUAAAUUAACAUAUGUUUUCUUUUAUUAAAAGAAAAAAAAUAUGAAUUUUUGAUUAAAAAGAAAAUCAGGACUAUAGAUCUCAUUAUAAGAAAUCAACAUGUGAAUAUUAUACCACUAGAAGUGGUUUGAAAUUGAAUCAGUAUCGAUGAUGGACCAAAAGUUCAAAUCCAAAAUCUUCACAAAUUUAGCUCAAUAAAUUUGCUAUGUAAGCUUAAUAAUUUUGUGAAAGUUCUCGUACGAUUAGGGGGAGCAAAGUAAUUUACAGUUGGUGAAUAAUGAAGAUGGAUGUUUGGUGGAUAGUGCAACAAUGCACACAAUUCUAAGAAAUAAAAAAUAUUUCCACAAUUUAAUAUUAGCUAAGGCUAAUGUUACUACAAUAUCUGGUUCUGCUAAUUUAAUUAAGGUCUCCAGAAGAGCUAAUAUCAUGUUACCAAAUGGUAUAAAAUUGCAAAUAAAUGAUGUUUUAUACUCCAGCAGAAAUCUGCUUAGUUUCAAGAAUAUUCAUCAAAAUAGAUAUCACAUUGAAACAUCUAGUGAAGGUAAUUUUGAAUUUCUUUGCAUUACUUCAAUUAUUUCAUGCCAGAAGCAUGUACUGGAAAAAAUACCUUCUCUUUCUUCUGGGUUGUAUCAUACAAAUAUAAGAACAAUAGAGAUAAAUUUUACAAUGAACUAGAAGUUCUCUGAUCCAAAGAUUUUUAAACUUUGGCAUGAUCGACUUGGGCAUCUUGGAUCAAUCAUGAUGCGUUGUAUUAUAAAAAAUUCACAUGGACAUCAAUUAAAGAACCAGAAGAUUCUUUUGCCAACUGAAAGUCCAUGUGCUGCUUGUUCUCAAGGCAAAUUAAUAAUUCGGCCAUCUCCAAUGAAAGUAAGUCUUGAAUCUCCUAAGUUUUUAGAAAGAAUCCAAGGAGAUAUAUGUAGCCCUAUACAUCCAAGUUGUGGACCGUUUCGUUAUUUCUUGGUCUUAAUAGAUGCAUCAACUAGAUGUUCACAUGUCUCUCUACUUUCUAGUCGUGGUGUUGUGUUUGCUAGAUUUCUUGCUCAAAUAAUUAGAUUAAGAGCACAAUUUCCUGAUUUUCCUAUUAAAAAAGUUAGACUUGAUAAUGUUGGUGAAUUUACAUCUAAAUCUUUUAAUGAUUAUUGUAUGUCUAUUGGAAUUGAUGUUGAGCAUUCUGUUGCACACACUCAUACACAAAAUGGUUUAGCUGAAUAUUUGAUUAAGCGUUUACAAUUAAUUGCAAGACCAUUAAUUCUUAGAUCAAAUUUGCCUUUUUCAUGUUGGGGACAUGCAAUACUACAUGCUGCAUCAUUAAUUCGCAUUCGACCAAGUUCUUAUCAUACAUAUUCACCUUCACAACUUGUUUUUGGCCAACAGCCAAAUAUUUCUCAUUUGAAAAUUUUUGGAUGUGAUGUUUAUGUCCCAGUUGCUUCCCCACAAAGAAAUAAAAUGGGUUUGCAACGAAGACUUGGAAUUUAUGCUGGUUUUGAUUCUCCUUCAAUAAUUAGGUAUCUUGAACCUUUAACUGGAGAUCAUUUUACUGCACGAUUUGCAGAUUGCCAUUUUGAUGAACAAAUUUUCCCGUCGUUAAGGGGGAGAAAACACAAAAGUAAAUGAACGACGUGAAAUUCCAUGACAUGCAUCAUCAUUAUCUCAUCUUAAUCCUCAUACAAAUAAAAGUGAACUUGAACGUCAAAGGAUCAUUCAUUUGCAAAAUAUUGCAAAUCAAAUUCCUGAUGCAUUUAUUGAUUCAAGAAAAAUAACAUAAUCAUAUAUUCCAGCUAAAUAUACCCCAGCGCGUGUUGAGAUCUCUAAAGGACAACACGAAAAAACUAAUAAAAGUAAAGUACGUUUGAAACGUGGAAGACCAAUUGGUUUAAAAGACAAAAUUUCCCGGAAGAGGAAAACACAAGAAAAGUUACAAAAUGAAAUUAACACUCCUGAAGAGUCAUUGCCUGCUAAUCAAAUAACAGAGAUUGAUCAAUCAAAUAGUAUUCGUCCCAUUGACUAAGAGGAAGAUUUGCCAACAACUGAGAAAGUAUCAGUUUCUCCUAAAGAGAAACAAAAUGAUGAAAUUAUGAUUGGUUUUGUUGGUAUAGAAAAAUCUUGGGAUCAAAAUGAAAUAAUUAUUGAUGAUAUUUUUUCAUUUACUGUGGCUCUUAAUAUCAUAAAUGAUGAUGAGGAUCCUGACCCCAAAACUGUGGAAGAAUGUCGACAUAGAAAUGAUUGGCCAAAGUGGAAAGAUGUUAUUCAAACAGAGUUAAAUUCACUUGCGAAAUGUAAAGUAUUUGGACCAGUAGUCCUAACACCUGAAGAUGUCAAAUCUGUUGGUUAUAAGUGGGUAUUUGUUAGAAAAUGAAAUGAGAAAAAUGAGAUUGUGAGAUAUAAAACAAGGUUAGUUGCACAAUGUUUUUCUCAAAGGCCUGGCAUUGAUUAUGAGGAGACAUACUCUCCUGUUAUGGAUGCAAUUACAUUUCGAUUUCUAGUUAGUCUCGUAGCCUCUGAAGGGCUUGAUAUGCGUCUUAUGGAUGUUGUGACUGCACAUCUAUAUGGUUCUAUUGAUACAAAAAUUUAUAUGAAAAUCCCCGAAGGAUUUAAAAUGCCAGAAGCAAACAAAUUAAAACCUCGUAGUUUAUAUUCUUUGAAACUACAACGAUCCUUGUAUGGAUUAAAACAGUCUGGGCGUAUGUGGUACAAUCGCUUAAGCAACUAUUUAUUGAAAGAAGGAUAUGUAAUAAUCUAAUUUGCCCUUGUGUUUGUAUUAAAAAAUCUGAAAUUGGAUUUGCAAUAGUUGCAGUAUAUGUUGAUGAUUUAAAUCUUAUUGGAACUCUUGAAGAGCUUUCAAAAACAACUUUUUGUUUGAAAAAUGAGUUUGAAAUGAAAGAUCUUGGAAAAACAAAAUUUUGUCUUGGCUUACAAAUUGAGUAUUUGCCAACUGGAAUACUCUUACAUCAGUCAACAUAUACUAAAAAAGUUUUAAAGUGUUUUAUAUGGAUGAAGCCCAUCCAUUAAGCACUCUAAUGGUGGUACGAUCACUUGAUGUAGAAAAAGAUCCAUUUCGUCCUAAAAAAGAUGGCGAAGCAAUUCUUGGUCCUGAAGUACCAUAUUUAAGUGCAAUUGGUGCACUCAUGUAUCUUGCAAAUUGUACUCGACAUGAUAUUGCAUUUUCAAUUAAUUUAUUAGCAAGAUAUAGUUAUGCACCAACUCGUAGGCAUUGGAAUGGUGUAAAGCAUGUAUUUCGCUAUCUUCGUGGAACAAUUGACAUGGGAUUAUUUUAUCCAAAUGGAUCAAAUUCACCAUUAAUUGGAUAUGCAGAUGUUGGAUAUCUCUCUGAUCCACAUAAAGCCCGAUCUCAAAUGAGUUAUUUGUUUACCUCUAGUAAUAGUGUUGUAUCAUGGCGAUCAAUGAAACAAACAAUGGUUGCAACAUCUUUAAAUCAUUCAGAAAUUCUUGCUAUUCAUGAAGCAAGUCGUGAGUGUAUUUGGUUAAGAUCAAUGAUACAACAUAUUCGAGAAACAUGUGGAUUGUCAUCAAUUAAAAAUAACCCUACAAUAUUAUAUGGGAUAAUGCAGCAUGCAUUGCCCAAAUUAAAGGUGGUUAUAUAAAAGGUGAUAGGACUAAGCAUAUUUCCAAAUUCUUUUAUACACAUGAGCUUCAAAAGAAUGGUGAAAUAUAUAUUCAGCAAAUACGUUCAAGUGAUAAUCUUGCAGAUUUAUUUAAAAAUCCCUACCAACGGCGACAUUCAAAAAAGUUGGUAUAUAAAAUUGGGAUGCGUCAACUCAAAGAUUUUUCUCCAAAUCCUGAAGAAUCUAUGUCAAGAUGAGGGAGAGUAUACUUAUUGGGAAAAAUAAUUUAUUUUGGAAGAAAUUUUAUGUGUUGUACUCUUUUUUCGCACUAGGUUUUUAUCCCAUAGGGUUUUUCCUAGUAAGGUUUUAAUGAGGCAACUUUAUAUCUCCAAAAUUAUUCAAGACAUCAAUGAAUAAUGUACUCUUUUUCCUUUACUAAUUUUUUCCUAAGGGUUUUUUUUAGUAAAGGUUUUAAUGAGGCAUAUUCUUUGUAAUGAACAUCCAAUGGGGAGUGUUAUGAAUUUAUUAAAAUAAAUGUGGAUGUUCAUAACAUAUAUAUCUUAGUCUCCCCACUAUCUCCCAAUAGCAACCUUUGGCUUCUCUAUAACUCUCACUAUCUCACAAAAAAUUAUGAUCCAUAAUGUUUCCAUUAAUUUCAUGGAGUGAUUAUGUAACUAUAAAAGGAGAGCUCGUCUCUUUGUUUUGUACAUAGAAUUUGAAUGAAUACAAUCACUUUAUAAUAUAUUGUUAUCUCAUUUUAUUAUUUAUCUUGUGUUGCUUCUUUAUUUGUGUGGCUGGCUAAUAGCUUUUAUAACAAUCUCUCAAUUGUUUCUCCUUGAUCUUAAGAGAAUCCACAUGAAUGCAAUUGUAUGUAGUAAAAAGUUGUGUAUUUGUUUAAUAAUUAUACUAUACAGUUUGUUCAAUUAUUUGGUCUUUUUUCAUUGUCAUUAAAAAAAAUAUCUUUGAAAUUAUGUUUAAAGAGUCAUUAAAUAUUUAAAUUUGAAAAUUAAAUGGGUGCAUAUGAUGCUAAAUUUUAUAUCAAAUAUCAUUGUUUAUAUUUAUCCUUGACCCAUUUUGGUCUUGUCAUAUUUGAAACUAGAAAAUAGAACCACACUUCGCGCGGCUUUAAAAAAAGAAUUUAGUAUUAUCUUUUUUUAUUAUUUUGCACUUGACGAAACUGAUAAAAAAUAUGAAUUGAUUUUUUUUAAAGAUGGCGCAGCCUUAUAAAACUAAUGUUAUUUAUAAUUAAUUAUUUUUUUGUUAACUUUAAAAAUAUAUAUUAAUGUGUAUAGUUAAGUGUACAUAACAUUUUCAUCAAUAAAGAUUAUGUUCACACUAAUCAAUUCUCUAUUUUUCUUGGUAUUAACAGACUCCCACAUCCUACAAAGUCUAACCCUUAUCAUCCAACUAUCUUUAUCAUUGUUUAACUCAUGAAGAAAAUAGUAUUCCAUGAAGCACACAAUACUAAAAAUUCAAAUAAGUCAAAAAAUAAAAACACAAGAAUAUUUCUAAAGAGGAUGUAGGUUAAAUAAUAAAAAAACCCAAACAUAACAAAUCUUAAAUACUUAAUGUUUAUAGAGUUUGAAGAAGCCAAAAGACACUAAACAAAAGAUUGCAUAAUUAAAUAUGGGAUUAUGGCCUUAAAAUUAGGCCCUAGUGGCAUUGGUGAGGGAAGAUGAAGGAACAUUUCUUCCUAUAUUAAUUAGUUGAUGUAUUUUAAACCAUUAAAGUUUAGUUGUUGGCUUAAUAAAAUAAAUGAAUGUUUCAAAACUUUAAUUAAUUAUUAUUAAUGGUUACAUAUUGUUGAAUUUAAAUAGAAAGAGGAAGAGACAUGUAAUCUUUUGUAAUCUACUGCUUAUUUUCUAUUUUUCAUAUUUUGUAAUGUAAUUAUUUUUUAAUCUCAACCAAUAUAUUAGAUAAUAGAGAAUAUAAAAAGAUGAGAAAUAAUAAUGCCACAAAUCUUAACUACUUAAUAUUUAUGGAGUUUGAAGAAGUGAAAAGGCACUAAACAAAAGGUUGCAUAAUUAAAUAUGGGAUUAUGGCAUUAAAAUUAGACCCUAAUGGCAUUGUUGAGGGAAGAUGAAAGAACAUUCCUUCCUAUAUUAAUUAAUUGAUGUAUUUAAGCCACUAAAAUUUAAUUGUUGGCAUAAUAAAAUAAAUAAAUGUUUCAAGACUUAUAAUUAAUUAUUAUUAAUGGUUACAUAUUAUUGAAUUUAAAUAGAAAGAGGAAGAGACAUGUAAUCUUUUGUAAUCUAAUAAUUAUUUUUUAUUUUUAAUAUUUUGUAAUGUAAUUAUUUUUUUAAUCUCAACCAAUUUAUUAGAUAAUAGAGAAUACAAGAAGAUGAGAAAUAGUGAUGCCACAUCACCUCCUCUAGUCCCAACUUUAUAUAUAUAUAUAUAUAUAGAAUAUAUAUAUUUUACUCUAGACAACUCUCCAAAUAAUUGAAAAGGUACCAAGAAAUAAUUUGCUUGUUUGUUGUUUAUUUAUUUAAAUCUACGUGUGGUUCUAAAAAAACUUACAUGGAACUUAGACAGCUACAAAUAUAGUUCAAAAAAUUUCUAAGUUUUUGCACUCUAUGGCUUCUCUGGAACUGGAGAUAAGUAGUUGAAAGUAAUUUCUUGAAAUUGAGGAGAAGUAAUUGGAAACAAUUUUAGAGCAGCAAUUGAGGAGUUUUGAGGUGUUUGUUUAAAAGGCAUUAUAUUUAAUCUUCCAAAUGAUAUCGUGGUAAAUAGAAAGUGGCAUGGCUGUAAUUAUUGUAAAUAUAUAGGAUGAUAAUUAAGUCAAAUGAGACACUGAAUAUAAGAGACGAAAGAAACAACAAAUAAAUAAAUAAACAAAAAUGCUAAGGACACGUGUCGAAUGCAAAAAAAAUGAGAGAGUGAGUCAGUCACAACUGAUCGUUGCACUUCUCUUCGGGUGGAGUAACCUACAUUCUUUUCUACCAAAGAUUGACCAUUGAUAUACACACUAUCUGUACCAUUCAUUACUUUCUACUCAUUAUUAUCUUCCGUUCUAUUCGUUACUAUCCUUCUUUAAUUUCUUACCAAUAAGAAAGCAAAAUAUCACAAGUAGUUCAAAAGGAUCUGCUCCUUGGACUAAUUAAACCCUCUAAGUAAUUAACUGUGGUAUGAUCGAUGUAUCAUGGAAGACAUUGAAAUGCACGAGUCAAAUAUUUCUAUGUGGUGUAAGAAAAUAUUUCUCAUUACUCCCGAACAAAUUCCCAGUCUUUUAUUUCCAAAAGAAUGUUGUUAUGCCGCCUUCAACGGUGAGGUUUGCACGUAUCUACCAAUCAACUUACCUACAGCAUGGAUAAAUCCUUUUCUCCAAGUUUCUCUACAGCCCUGGCAAUGAGGCCACCAAUGUGUCGAUACCUAUUUGCAGCUAAUGUUGCAACCUACUAAGAGAGGGGAGGAAAAAAAAAAAAAAAGGGCAUCACCACUAUACUUUUAUAUCAUAUUUGGCCGAAGAAGCCAGACCCUUAGUUUCAAGCAGCAAAGGGCAUUGUCAAUAUUAAUUAUUCACAUCACUGUCCAUUGUCCUUAUACCACCCAACUCUUAAAUUGGGGAAAAGGACAGCGAUACGUCCACGUCUAACCAACUGGUCAGUCACCGAAUGUCUGUAUGACUAUUUUGAAUAUAAGAAGUAUCUGGGCAGUUUCUUCAAAUGAGCUGGAGCUGACAAUUCGUGCUCUUUGAUCUGUAACUACCUUUUAUGCCAUAUCAAUCUCUCUUUUUAGCUCACCAACAUCCACUCCAGCAGCCUUGUAAAUAUCAUUUCAUCUAUUUUGUGAGGGCAUGGACAUGGUGGCUGUAUCUCAGGUAUUUCAAUUUCUAGUAGCUUCAAAAAUUUAAUUAUCUGCGUGUUUAGGAAUCUGGAUAUUGAAGAAUUUUGGCAUCCUGUCAACACCAUCAACAUAAAAGAGAUGAAAGAACUCAAUGAUUAUAAAAUCCAAAGAGCUAAAUAAUCAAAGCAUUCUAAUCACUUUAACGACUCAAAGGGAUACAUUUGGUUGCAUUAACGAGUCAAACUUUCAAGUUCAACCAAUAAAUAUGAAAAUCAGUAUCAUCUACUAGACAAAUUAAACUAUUUAAAUUAUAUUUAUAUUUAUUAAAAAAUUUUAAAGUCAAUUGUUUAGUUACUAUCUACACAGAGCAUUAUAAUUAAAAUGAGGUCUUGGUGUCACUUAUUAAAAAUUUAGAAAUUUACAUGACCAUUUCCCCAAACCUUGAGCACGCAGCCGCCCUUUUUUCUGUAAUAAUAAAAUAGUCAUAUCGUUAUAAAAGUCUUACCAAACACGCGUUAAUAAGAAAUUAUAAGCCAUAUCAAACAUUAAAUUGCAUGAAAUAGAAUGAUUUAAAAAACGAAAUAAUGUAUUAAACACGUUCACACUUAGGUCACACUAAUUAUCAUGUUCUAAAACAGAAAUGAAUUAAUGCGUACGUUUUGACACAUUAGAAUGAAUAAUAAAGGUGAACACAGAGUAGAUGAAUAUUGAAAAUUUCUCGCAAUCCAUAACUGCCAAAUUAAAAUACAUUCAUUAUUCAUUGAACAGAAGAAAGACAUGCAAUUUCCUCGAAAGCAUUGUUUUAGUAUUUAUAGCAAAAUUCUCUAUCUAUUCAACUUAGGGGGAAAAAAAAAUUCUACUUAUAAAAGUACUUAAAAUGAUAUUUUCAACCCUAAAUCAUCUUUAUUUUUCUUUAAAAAAAAAAAAAGACCGCUACCACCGCCCGAAGUUUUACUGAGAAAAAAACUCGUACAUAAUAAGAGAAUUUUGGUUUUAGAAAAAAAUGGUCGAUCGAAUCAUAUAUAGUUCAUCAAUUGAGCCAACUCACGACUUUGCCCCCAGUCAUAAGUUUGUAGUUCGUUUUCUUGACACAAGGUCUUUGCUUCAAGAACACUUCAAUGUCAUAACAAGAAAAGUUACCCUUUACAUUCCAUGUGCAAUUGUCUGUCCUAUUUACAGUAAAAGUAAACACUGAAUUGAUAUCCCAUGCGUGACUUCAAAGAAGCUUUUCACUUGAUUCUGUUUAUGCGCGUGACAUCGCAAAGAAGCCAUCAACAUUUUCAGGCAAGAAGCUAAGUAUAUGGAAAGAAAUAAGAUUGGAACAUCAAAGUAAGAGUAAAUCUUCGUUUCGUCCUUAUAAUUGAAGGCUUGAGCCAAUUACUCAAUUAGUCUAUGUACUUUAGAAUUAAAAAAAAAAAUCAAAAUGUUUAUAUAUUUGUUUCCUUUAAAAUCUACCUCAUUAUAUUGUAUAACUAUAGACAGGGCGGAACUCAGGAAAAAAUUCUACAGGGGCCAAUAUAGUAAAAUUCUACCGGAGCCAAAAUUCUACAUUUUCCAAAACUGGCGUAGUUGAUUUGUUUCUUGUAUCAUUAGUGGGCCUUACAGUAAAAUUACAAUAUUAUCUAACAUAUAAUCUUUAUACAUCAAUUGUGCAAGGGCCAAUAUAGACACGUUACACUAAUUUUUCACAUUUUAUUUAGAAACCCUAAAAUUUUUUAAAGUCCUAUAGUGGCCAUGGCACCCUCUAACCUUAUAUAGCCUCCGCCCCUGACUAUAGAAGUAACGGCAGAUAUUUUUUGCAUAAUUUUUAUAACAUUAUGUAGCAACUGAUGAUUGACUCAAACUACAAGGGGGCAAAGAGUAUUUACCCCAGAAAGUAACUCGUUUUUUGUGAAAAUCAAUUCGAAUACAUACCAACAUCAUCAAAUACUUCAUGGAUCGGUUAAAGAAUAUGAAAUCAUACCGGCUUUGAAGGAAAUUUUAUGCUUUACUUAGGCAAGAGAAUCCUUGCGCUAUAAGGUUGCUAAUUUAUGAGAUAUUUUCAAUAUACAAUUCCUUUUCUGGAUAUAUACCUCAAAAUUGUAUCUCAAAUAUUUUAUUUCAAAUACAAUGACAUUCAACAAGGUGUCGUAGUGCAAUUAAUUCACUUGUAACUUGUGAAAGUCUUUAAUUACCACUGGACAAAUGACACACCAUAUCGUUUGUUAUAAGCUAAUCAAUAAAAAUAAAGAAAAAAGUAAUGAUACCGCCACAAAUUUUUGUACAAACUUAUUUUGUACAAACUAAUUUGACAUUAAUUAAUUGAUUGAAUGCAAAUACAAAAUAAUAAAAAUAGAUCCUGUGGACCAAGAGAUAUUUAAUUCAACCAAUGAAUUAAUGUCACGUCAGUUUGUACAAAAUAAAUUUGUACUGUACCUAUAAUAUUACUCUAAAGAAAAAUAAGAUUUCUUCUUUUAUUGCUUGAAUCUAAAAGCCUGCCUAGCCUACAAAUGUACGUUCCAAAUUAAGUAAAACUCAUAAUGCUGCGAAAGAAAUCAUAAUUUGAUUCUUAAUGUCUCGUAUUCUAAAUUAAUGACUAGGAAAAAGCCAGGAAACAGGAGAAGCUUGUCAGUAUCAAUCAUCCGAGAGAAUAUCUCUGUGACCGUUAGAAAGGAAGCUACAGUGCAGGUUCUUGGCUCCUCGCUAAGUCCCAUAAAUAAAGAGAACCCAUUCACAGGCUUACAAACUCGUUCCAUUGUUACAAAUUCUUGAUCUUUGUUCUUGUUAUUGUUUUUUAGCCAUGUCUUUAACUCUUAGGUCUCGGAAACCAAUUGAAAAUAAAAUGCCGAUCAAUGAAUUAGAACUUGACCUCCUGUUGCUUUCAAAACGCCACCAAAGAAGGUGGCGAAUGGCCUUUAGGGUCAUAUGCUUCACCAGAGCUCUUGUUUCAAUGUCCAGAAAGUGUCUUCAAAACAACAACCAAAUCUUGCUUCGCUCCCUCUCUUACGUUGCCUUCGACAUUAGUACCAGUGACGACCAUGAAGUUCCCUUUGUCGGGGUCAACGAGCAGAUGCUCUCGAAGAUGGUGAAAGAGAAGAGUUUUGAGUCCUUGAGUAAUCUUGGAGGAGUUAAUCAAGUUGCUGCGAUUCUUGAAAGUGAUACCAAACGUGGCAUCAGUGGCAAUGAAGCUGAUCUUGGUCACAGGAUCAAUGUUUUCGGAGCAAACAGGUACAAAAGACCAAAAGCAAAAAGCUUUAUAAGUUUUGUUUUUGAGGCACUUAAAGAUACAACUAUUAUCAUACUCUUGGUUUGCGCUUUACUCUCUCUGGGGUUUGGCAUUAAACAAGAAGGCUUGAAAGAAGGCUGGUUCGAUGGCGGUAGUAUCAUAUUUGCUGUGUUUUUAGUUGUCAUCGUCUCUGCUGUGAGUAAUUUUAAGCAGAGUAGACAAUUUCAGGCUCUUGCUGAUGAGAGCAGUGAUAUAAGAGUUGAAGUUGUGAGAGAUGGCAGGCGCCAGGGUUUGUCAAUCUUUGAUGUUGUUGUUGGUGAAAUUGUUUGUUUGAAGACUGGUGAUCAAAUUCCGGCCGAUGGGUUGUUCUUGAACGGCCAUUCUUUGAAGGUUGAUGAGUCUAGCAUGACUGGGGAAAGUGAUCAUGUUGAAGUUGAUGAGAAGAGUCCUUUCUUGCUUUCGGGUACUAAAGUGACCGAUGGCUAUGGCUUCAUGCUGGUCACUUCUGUUGGAAUGAGCACUGCUUGGGGUGAGAUGAUGAGCUCUAUUAGCCACGAGUUGAAUGAGGAGACGCCAUUGCAAGCUCGGCUCAACAAGCUGACUUCUUGCAUUGGGAAGAUUGGAUUAACAGUGGCUGUUCUUGUGCUUGCGGUUAUGUUGAUUCGGUACUUCACAGGAAACACAAGAGAUGAGACGGGAAACAAAGAAUUUCUCGGGAGGAAGACGAAGGUCGAUGAUGUGAUGAAUUCUGUGAUCAACAUUAUUGCUGCUGCUGUCACCAUUAUUGUUGUGGCAAUUCCUGAAGGCUUGCCUCUUGCUGUUACUCUUACGCUGGCUUUUUCGAUGAAGAGAAUGAUGAAGGAACAUGCUAUGGUAAGAAAGCUCUCUGCUUGUGAGACUAUGGGAUCUGCAACAACCAUUUGCACUGACAAAACAGGCACUCUCACUUUAAAUCAAAUGAAGGUUACGGAAUUCUGGAUUGGAAAAGAAGCAAUGACGGGCAAUGCUAGUUCCUCAGAAUUAGCACAUAAUCUCUACGAGUUGCUGCAAGAUGCAGUUGGUUUAAACACCAUUGGUAAUGUUUACAAAUCGAAUUCUGAAUCGACUCCUGAGAUUACUGGUAGCCCAACUGAGAAGGCAAUUCUUUCUUGGGCUGUUCUUGAUUUGGGGAUGAAUAUUGAUGAACCAAAACAAUGCUGUAAAAUAAUCAACGUGGAGGCCUUCAAUUCAGAGAAAAAGAGAAGUGGAGUUUUGGUGAAGAGGAUCCAUGAAAAGACGGUUCACAUACACUGGAAGGGAGCUGCAGAGAUGAUACUGGCCAUGUGUUCUCAUUAUUAUGUCAAAAGUGGGACAACCAGAGCCUUGGAUGGUGAAGCAAGAAAGCAAAUUGAGAUAGUUAUCAAGGACAUGGCAGCCAAGAGCUUAAGAUGCAUUGCUUUUGCUCACACCAAAGUUGUAGAAGCUGAUGGGCAAGUCCAGGAGAAGCUUGAAGAAACUGGACUGACCUUGCUGGGGCUUCUGGGUUUGAAGGAUCCUUGUCGUCCAGGUGUCAGAGCAGCAGUUGAAUGUUGUAGAAAUGCAGGGGUGAAUGUCAAGAUGGUAACUGGAGACAAUGUGCACACGGCUAGAGCCAUAGCUAUUGAAUGUGGAAUCCUGAAUCCUGAUGUGGGUUUAAACAAUGAUGAUGCAGUAAUCGAAGGUGUGCAAUUCAGAAGCCUCUCAGCUGAAGAAAGAGUGGCAAAGAUUGAAAGUAUCAGAGUGAUGGCAAGGUCUUCCCCACUAGACAAGCUUCUGAUGGUUCAAAGCUUGAAGCAGAAAGGCCAUGUUGUAGCAGUGACUGGCGAUGGCACAAAUGAUGCUCCUGCUCUAAAGGCAGCAGAUAUUGGACUCUCGAUGGGAAUUCAAGGAACUGAAGUGGCAAAGGAGAGCUCAGAUAUCGUCAUUAUGGAUGAUAACUUCACCUCUGUAGUGACAGUUCUGAGAUGGGGACGAUGUGUCUACAACAACAUUCAGAAAUUCCUUCAAUUUCAGCUCACAGUCAAUGUUGCUGCUCUUGUCAUCAACUUUGUCGCUGCUGUUUCUUCAGGAAAAGUCCCACUAACUGCUGUUCAGCUGCUCUGGGUGAACCUGAUCAUGGAUACACUAGGAGCAUUGGCAUUGGCCACUGAGCAGCCCACCAAUGAUCUCAUGUCAAAGCCGCCCGUUGGCCGAUCCGAGCCUCUGAUAACAAAACUCAUGUGGAGGAAUCUCAUCCCUCAGGCCAUUUAUCAGGUGACCAUCUUACUGACUCUGCAAUUUAAAGGAAGAUCAAUCUUCGGCGUGAAUGAAAGUGUUAAAGAUACCAUGAUUUUCAAUACUUUUGUCUUCUGCCAAAUCUUCAAUGAGUUCAAUGCUAGGAAACUUGAGAAGAAGAAUAUAUUCAAAGGGAUACACAAGAACAAGUUGUUUCUAGCAAUCAUUGGAAUUACCAUUGUUCUUCAACUGAUAAUGGUAGAGUUUCUGAAGAAGUUUGCUGAUACUGAGAGGCUGAAUUGGGGGCAAUGGGCAGCUUGUAUUGGCAUUGCAGCUAUGUCUUGGCCAAUUGGUUUUCUCUUCAAGUGCAUUCCCGUUUCUGGCACGCAGCUGCUUUUCAAGCAAAUAGCUACAUGAAUCACAAAUCCAUAAUCAAUUCUCUAUCAGUUAAUAUUUUCUUUUAUCUUUGUUUAGUUUCAUAAGUUUCUUAGCUCAAUCUGUAAAUAUAAGUCUAAUAGCUAAUUAGUUCAUAAUGAAAUUUAUUUUGAAUAAAAGAGAAAAUUCUAUUGCUUCAUCAGGUCCUUAGAAUUUCAUUUGACCAAUUAAAUAUAUGGUUAUAAAAUACAUAUAUCUUUAGCAAGUACUAAACAUUAAACUUGGAGAAGAGGAUUCCUUGACUAUAAAAGAAGUAAGAAAUGUUAGUUGAGCAGGUGCUUGUUAAAAGUAAUAAGCGCCUGUUAGACUUACUAAGUGUUUGUUAAAGUGUCCCAGUGAAGCUCCGGAACAAUAUCACGCUUCAUUGCUUUCAACAAACACGUGCAAUGGAAUAAAAACAUUUGAAAGUUGUAAUGUGUAAGUACUGUUGAAAAAAUAGCAUGUAUUUUGAGGGCACAUUUUUAGUAGGUCCCACUUAGCGAAAGUGAGAAAUCUUGUGAGGUUCGGAUUCUAUUCCGUUAAUACUUUAAAAGUGUAAUUUUAUUUUGUCAAAAUGGUGCUUGGAUGAAUGAGAAAUUAUCUCUCAAAGUUCACCCUUGAAGUUGGAAAUUUGAAAGGAAAUGAUGCUUAUCCCACAUGGGAAAAAGAAGCCAAGGGAUUAGUGUUUAUAUAUAAACACUUAACCAUGCAUGAGUAAGAAUUAUAAGGAUAAAAGCUGUCUCCACACGCGUGUGCGCAUGGGUGCAAAUCCAAGACCGAUUUGGUUGAACUCGUGUGUGACCUGUGUACGCGAAUGUCAAUCCCAAAAUCAUCCAAGCUUGCAUGGCAUGUUUUUAAUUUCCUUUUGAAUUUUUUAUUGUAACAGUUUCACAACAAUUAUUUUUUAGCUGUUAUACAAUUCACGUUUUUGAAUUCAAUUUUGAAAUAAAAUUGAUUGAAUUGAAUUGGCUGUUAUAACUAUUUAAUGGCAUAUAUUGAAUUCGGAAAUUCAAUACAAUACUGCUGUUACAUCCUCAAUGAGUAUAAAAGGGCACCUCCUCUUCUGUUUUUUUACACACUGAAACCAGCACACAGAGCACUUGCAAUUUUUCUUUCCUCCUUCUUUCGUCUAUUUUUCUGAUCGAGUUUGCUGCUGUUAUGGUUCGCCGGAAUUACAUGUCUGUGCUUGAUCGGAAAUUCGUGCCCGUUGUAUCUUGGGAAACAGUUACCAGCAGACCUAAAGCACUUCAGUAGGUGGUAAAUCUGUUUUAAGGAAAUUGUCCUGUGCAGGCCUCGGGUUUCAUUUUCUGUUUCGAUUUUUCUUUUCCCUGCUGUUUUUCAGUUGUGAUUUCCAGUUGCUGUUUGCGUUGCUGCAGUUAAUUUACCUACUGGUUUUAUUUGUUUAACUCACUGUGUUUGUUCUUUUUCCUUACAAGUACUACAUGCAACAGCCGUUAGAUGCAUUUAACCCCAGCUAUAGGAUUAGUUUGUAAAGACUAAAGAUGUAGUGAGAAAUUACAAAGCGAUUCCCUAAUAUAUCUUGCGGAAAAUGUCAAGCUCAAUGGAAGCCAACGUUAAUGCUUAUACAAGCCUAGUUUGUACAAUAAUUUCUAGAGUAAUGCUGCACUUUUUGAGCCUAAAUUUUUCUACUUAUGAAAUUUUCUACUCUUAUAUUGACUGCUUCCUUCUUUUAAAUUUUAAGACUGCCUGCAUAUUUGAUUUUGAUCGAAAGACACUUUCCAUUGAGCUUUCAUUUUGCCAACUCUACUCCACAAUUUUGAGGCCACAAAGCAAUGACGGGAAAGAUGAUUAGAAGUUUCUGCACUUGUGUUUACAAAAUUAUUUGGUGCAUUUUCAUCAUCACUACAACAAAAGGGCCAAUUCAAAAGAUGUUGUCUAACAAAAUAAGUCGUCAACACGCUUAAGUCACAAUUCUUAACCUGCUGAGUUAGAAAUGAGUAAAUUACUUGUAUAUAACCAAAGAAGCUUGGAAAGCUUGUACAAGCAUGAAGUUUACAUAUCAGCAGAUUGAUGCGUGUUCAAUGUCUAUCUUGUGUAAAAAUAACAGAAAUAAACUGUUUGGCUCAAUAGAAAAUCUCUGAGAAAAUAAAACUAUGAAAUUUCCAGUAAAUUCAUUUCUUAUUAUUUUGUUUAUAACCUCACGUUUAUAUACUAAGUUCUCACACGUGAUUUCUACUUGUAAUUAACAAACUCUACAUAACGAACUAUGAGCUGUAUAACGAACUAUGAGCUGAACUUCUACAUUUCACUAAUAACCUUCUGCUGACGUGGCUUCACUGAACUGCUUGAAUAGUGAGCUUCCUUCACAGCCCCCCUCAAACUCAAGGGACAUGGGAGGACGUUGAGUUUGGCUCUCAAAUAGUUGAACUUUAUGAAUGAAAGUGGCUUUGUCAUUAUAUCAGCUGCUUGCUCCUCACUUGGUACAUACUUGAUGCUCAAUUCUCCAGCAAGUACUUUUUCUCUAACAUAAUGUAUGUCAAUCUCAAUAUAUUUCGUUCUUGAAUGAAAAACUGGAUUGUGAGCUAAUUCAGUUGCACUAAGAUUAUCAAACCAAAUGGCAGGUUUUUCUGUGCAUUGUAACUUUAACUCAGAGAACAGAGACUGCAACCAGCUUAUCUCUGCACUUGCUGCAGCUAGUGAUCUAUAUUCACUUUUGGUACUUGACCUAGCAAUGACUGGUUGCUUCUUGGAUGACCAAGAUACCAUAUUGUGACCCAAGUAAACACAAUAAGCACCAACUGACUUCCUGUCAUCUAGGUCCCCUGCCCAAUCUGCAUCUAUGAAGCAUGUCAACUUCAUAUCACCCUCUUUGAUAAAUUUGAGUCCAUAAUUCUGUGUUGCUUUCAUAUAUCUCAGCACCCGUUUGCAUGCCAUGAGAUGCUGCAAGGUUGGUGCAGAAACACAUUGACUUAGUUUAUGUACACUUAAUGCAAUCUCUGGUCUUGUCAAAACCAAAUACUGCAUUCCACCAACGAUGCUCCUAUAAUGUGUAACAUCUUCAACAUAAUGACCAAGACUUCCUUGAGCUUCUUUCUGCAGUUUCAGUCCUAUACUCAUAGGAGUUUCUACAUCCUUACAAUUUAUCAUCUCAACCUUUGAUAACAGGUCCCUUAUAUAUUUCCUUUGUGAUAAGUAUACAAAAUCUGUCAUACAACACUUCAAUUCCUAAGAAGUAAGAGAGAGCUCCAAGAUCCUUUAGAGCAAACAUUGUGCUAAAUUCAGCAAUAAAGCUUUCUAGUUCAGAGCUAUUUGGUCCUGUUAUUAGAAUGUCAUCAACAUAAAUGAGGAUUAAGAUCAGAGAUGAUUUACUCCUUAGAAAUAAAGAAGUAUCUGAACUGGAAUUCAAAAAUCCCCACUGUAACAAGCAUCCUCUCAACUUAUCAUACCAAGCUCUUGGAGCUUGUUUAAGGCCAUAUAAAGACUUAUGAAGCUUACACACAUAUGCUGGUUUUUCAACAUCAACAAACCCCUCUGGCUGAUCCAUUAACACUUCCUUAGUCAACUCUCCAUUGAGGAAAGCAUUAUUCAUAUCAACUUGUCUUAUCUUCCAUUGAUUCAUCACAGCCAAGCUUAGAAUUACCCUUACAGUAGCUGGCUUUAUGAUAGGGUUGAAUGUUUCAAAACAAUUGACUCCCAUAAUCUGUUGGAAUCCCUUAGCUACUAACCUAGCUUUGUAUUUGGCCACACUUCCAUCAGUAUUAUAUUUCACCCUGUACACCCAUUUAUUCCCAACUACCUUUUGAUCAACUAUUCUUGGCACUAGGGACCAUGUACCAUUCUGCAUUAAGGCUGCAUACUCUUCUUUCAUGGCUAUAAGCCACUUUGGAUUUUGCAUGGCCUCAUACACUGAAUCAGGUUCUUUGUGAAUAAGAGUUGCAGUAUAUAGUUAGGUUUGAAGAUACCAGCUUUGCUUCAGGUAGUCAUGGAAUGGAUAUUAGGUUGAACAAAUGAUGAUGGAUAAGGUACAGGUUGAGGUGUUGGAGUAUUUGGUUCUAUAGAUGGUUCAUUAGUUGAUAUGUGUUGCUGUAAAUGAAAGUUUUGGUUAUCAGUAUGAGAUGGAUUGUUUGAACUCUGAGAGCUACUACUGAUAGAACUUGCAGAGUGUGGAUUGUAUGAGCUGUCAGUAACUGAAACUAAUAAUGUUGACAAAUGGUAUACUUUUUGAGAUGUGAAAGAUUGACUUGAAUGAGAAGAUGAUUCAGUAGAAUGAAAAACUGAAUCUGUGGAAUAAGGAAAAAUAGACUCAUAAAAAACAACAUGUCUGACUAUGUAUAUUUGACCUGAGGGAUGCAUACACUUGUAUCCUUUAUGAGAUGGACUAUAACCAAUGAAAAUACACUUGCUUGAGUGAUAAUCCAAUUUAUGCUUAUUGUAAUCUCUUAAGUAAGGAUAGCAUGUACAACCAAAGCACUUGAGCAUACUAUAAUCAGGUUUAUGGUUGAAUAUUUUCUCAUACGGAGUAAUAAGUUUCAAGGUUGUAGAUGGUAGUCUGUUAAUGUGAUACACAGCUGUAUGAAAAGCAUCCCACCAAAACUUAAAAGAUAACUUGGCUUGUGCCAAUAAGGUGAGUCCUAACUCAAUAGUGUGUCUAUGUUUCCUUUCAACCACUCCAUUUUGGUGAUGUGUGUAGGGACAAGAGUGUCUAAAAAUGAUUCCACACUAGUUUAAGAAAUGAGUGAAUGCUCUAUACUCUCCCUCCCAAUCAGAUUGCAGGUGUUUAAUGGUGGUGCUAAGUUGGUUUUCAACCUGCAAUUUGAAUAAUUUUAAGACUUCUAAGGCCUCUGAUUUCAGUUUGAGGGGAUAGAUCCAAGUAUAACGACUGAAAUCAUCCACAAAGCUUAUAUAGUAAGUAUAUCUAUCUCUAGAUGGGAUUGGUGAUGGUCCCCACAAGUCUGUGUGAAUGAGUUCAAGAGACUUAGUUGUUUUGAUUUCUGUAAUGGGGAAAUGAAGUUUAUGAGAUUUGCCCAUCUGGCAGGCUUCACAAAUUUGAUUCAGUGCUUGUUUCAUGCUGUUACUUGAGAGAUUAACAGAAGCAUCAUUUUUCAGCAAAUGCAUUAGUGUUUGAGAGUUAGGAUGACCAAAACGUCUAUGUAGAAGGAGUGUUUUAUUAUUCAAUCCAUUACAAGAUGAAUUUUGACUGGAAACUUUAUUGUCUGAUGCAUUACAAAGAGAAAUAGAACUGAAAUCAUUAUUCUGAGUGUUAUUUAGAACAUGAGGAUCAAAAGAACAUGCAGACAACAUUGACAAUGGUUGAAUAUGAGAAGAUUGGCACAGGAAGGAGGAAGGAACAGACUCAGAUGGCUUGAGAAUAAGCUUAUACAAUCCUUUCUUAGCAAGUCCUUUCAGAAGCACUUGCCUCAUUAGAGAAUCCUUCACAUAGCAGACAUCACCAACAAAUUCAAUGGACAAGUUAUUAUCAGUGGUCAGUUUUGAUAUGCUUAGCAAAUUCUUUAUGAUAUCAGGCACUAAUAACAUAUCUUUGAGCAAAAUAUAUGUUGGUUUAUAAGCAGCAUUAGAUCUCUUAUAAGUAAAACAUGCAUCACCAACAUGAGUUAUAAACAAACCUUGACCAUUGCCGAUAACAAGCUGAUCUAAUCCCUUGAAUUCUUCUCUGACAUUCAUGUUAGCCAUAUUGUUGGUCAAGUGAUGCGUGGCACCACUGUCCAGAUACCAUCCAUCAUCAGCAGGCCCUUCAUAAUUGGUAAGACAAGCUUCAGGAGUAUUAAACUCUGCAGAUGGAUAAGGUGAGUGAUACAUGGGAUUAAAACCAGAGUAAAAAGGAGCAGCAUAGUUGUCUUCCACUGUUGGACCAGCAUAAUUUGUAAAUGAAUCAAAAUUAGCCAUAUAAGCAGCCUUUGACCCAAAUGAUCUACCCCUUCUAAAGUGUUUGGGUAAUGGAGUAGGACUAUCAUCAUAUUUGUGCCAGCAUUCAUCUGCUGUGUGCCAUUGCUUAUGACAUAUCUGACAUAUUGGUGGUGAUUCAUCAGAGGGUAUGUUAGCUGAAGGAUGAUAAGCUGGAGGAGGAUAAUUUGGUCUUACAGAUGGCCUUAGAAAUUGCAUUGUUUGACCUCUGUCAUAGCCUCCAAAAUUUGCAACACUAGUAGGAGAUCCUAUAGGAUAUGGAUUAUAAAAUACACCUCUUCCACCAUUAAAGCUUCUAUUACCAGAACGACCACAAUAUCCAUUACCAAAUGUGCCUCUUCUAAAAUUUCCUCUCAUGUAAGAGUUAUUAGCAUUCAUUGAACUGUAAUUUGCAUUAAGCAUGGUUUUGGUACCUUGACUCUGUUCAAGUCUAGCUUCAUGUGUCAACAGUAAGGCAUAUGCAUCAUCAUAACUCAUCUUUUUUGCAGUAAUGAUUGAAGCUAGAUCUAAAUAGCCAGAACCUAAACCAUUUAAAAUCCUCAUCAAUAGAUCUUUUUCAGUAAUGACAUCACCAGCACAGGCAAGUUUGUUUACGAGUAGCUUCAUUUUUGCAUAGUAUUCCUCAAUAUUCAUUGAAUCUUUCCUUAAGAUGUUCAUUUCAUAACGAAGUUGCAUGAUCUUAGCUUUAGAUUGAACUCCAGUUUGUCAAUAGAUUUCCACACAUCAAAAGAAGUAUCAUAGCUAAGGACUGAACUUCGAAUACCUUCACUUAUGGUUGAUAGCAGCCAACCAAGAAGUGUUUGAUCCAGUGCUCUCCAGUUGACAUAAGCUGGAUUUUCAACGUUCUCUCCAGAUCCAUCAGUUAUUGCAUUCGACAGAUAUUGCUCUGGAACAAUUUGUGGUUCUGAAAUGAAUUUUUCCAGGCGAUUUCCUUUUAUCGAGGUCAAGACUUGUUUUCGCCAAAGCAAAAAAUUAGAUCGAUCUAAUUUCACAGUAGCUGCGAAGGUGAACGAAAUUUGUGAUGGUUGAUUUAAAUUCAUGAUCGACUGAUUUGAAGUUGCAGUGCUUGAAUUAGCCAUUAUGGCUCUGAUACCAUGUAAAAAUAACAGAAAUAAACUGUUUGGUUCAAUAGAAAAUCUCUGAGAAAAUAAAACUAUGAAAUUUCCAGUAAAUUCAUUUCUUAUUAUUUUGUUUACAAGCUCACGUUUAUAUACUAAGUUCUCACACGUGAUUUCUACUUGUAAUUAACAAACUCUACAUAACAAACUAUGAGCUGUAUAACGACAUUUUAACCAACUCAGCUGAACUUCUACAUUUCACUAAUAACCUUCUGCUGACGUGGCUUCACUGAACUUCUCGAAUAGUGAGCUUCCUUCACCAGCUGUUUGUAAAAGUAAAAAAUGGAUUAGCUUACCAAAAAUAGACCAUAGCAACUCAGAAAUUUGUUUCUCAAUUGCAAUAAUAGCUAAUCCUAUACUCCUAUAUAUCUUGCCGCUAGCCCUACACGAGUUUCAGGGGCAACAAUACGUGAAUCAGCCUUGAUCAUCAGAGUUGUUAAAUGGUAUUUUUUUAGCCUUGGGAGCAUCGGCCGAAAUUUCUCUGAAGUGAGCUCCAUACAGCUUGGACUCCUGCAAUGCGAUGAGGCACAGUGAAAACUAAUUCAGGGCAGAAAACAGAUGACUAAGCUUGCUUGCACAACAUUUCCAAACAUAUGUGCCAAGCAAGUGGAUUAACAGCAAAUCGAAUGAAAAAAAGAAAAAUACAACAAAAAGGAUAGAACUGUACACCUUCUUCUUUACAUGAGUGCCAAAUUUCAGAAGAGCAUCUGGCACAACUUGUCUAGCUUCUCUGAGAACAUUCACCAGCUCCCCAGCAAGUGCCUGAAAUAGCAAUGUCACUAGCUAAAACAAGAUAUUUGGCAUAACACAAGGAUACAAUAGUUUUGACUCCAGAAUUCAAGCAAAGAUAACAUGAAAAAGUUUGAUAUGCUACCUUAUUAUGAUUUGUUAAGAAUGGGUGAGAGACACCCUUCUUACCGGCCUGGCCAGUCCUACCAAUUCUGUGAACAUAAUCCUCCGUGGUUAAAGGGAAAGAAUAGUUAAUAACUACUUCAACAUCAGGAAUAUCCAAUCCUCGUGCAGCAAUGUCAGUAGCAACCUGCAAAUACAUUCACCGUCAAUACUACAACAAUCAAGUUCUUGGAAAUAUAAAAGAGAUGACAAAAAUUUGGAAUUAAUAUUACACCCAAUCAUUAAUUGCAAUAAUCAUGUUGUGCUUUUCUUACACCAUAUUUAGUCAAUCAGAAACAGAUUUACCAGUUUGGAUGUGCACCUCACUGUAUUUUUUUUUUUAAAAACAAUUUCAUUUCCUUUUAGUUUGCAGAAAUCCCAGAGAAUUACUAAACCACAAUGCUUCCACUGUUGUAGUCAAAAUACUGAUUUGCAAAUGCGUACCAUCAAAGGACAAGUUCCUUCCUUGAAUAAUGACAGUGACUUUGUACGUUCAUGCUGUGCUUUCUAAUAUAUAAAAAUUUUACGACCUUCCAACCACUGAGAGCAGAAGAAAAAGAAAAAGAAAUAAAUAAAACCUCAAAAGUUACAGGCAAAUGGGAUUCAUCAACACAGUUCUACCUCCAGCUGCUUGAUGCCGUUGGAGUGCCAAGACAGAAAGAAUAUUUUAACUUAAAAAAAAUGUUUGUCUUGAAAGAAAAUGAUUUUUAAUAUAUAAAAAUUUGUUGUACUAGAAAAAGCUUUUAACAAUUGGUGGGUAGAACACUUUUUGUUUGUGCCCAGUUGAUAGAACAUAAAGACUUUCUUCUGUAGUUAGAUUUUUUUUUUAAUUUUAAUUUAUGGUUACAUUUUAUCUAUUUUGCAAAUUGCAAUGCCCAUUUGUGAUUAAUUCUAACUAGCAAUAUUUUUUAUCAUUCGCUUUAUGACAUUUGAAACAAGGCAUAAUUUCAAAUUUAUAAUUGGUGUUUUUUUUUUUUAAUUAUUAAAACUUUGGUCCUUUAAAAUCAUUAAUAAUUGUGAAAAAAAAAUUAAGCAUAAUGAUAAACUGUGGGUACUGAAUCUGGAUGUUGUUGUGUUCUUUUGACAUUGAAGUGAUUCACAAUUCAUUUCACUAGUAUAAUUAUUUUGCAAAAAUGUAAUUUAUUAGCGAUAGUUUAGGCAUCGAAUUUUCUGCUACAUAUAUUAGUUCGGUUCGGUUUUUCAUUUAAUAAAGAAUUGUUAAGUAUUGUUAAUACUCACCUGCUUGAAUGCGCGUGCAUUCUAUUAGCUUUAGUAGAAGGAUGAUCCGCAAAUCCUGUAUAGAAGAUAUAAAGAAUAUAAGUUUAGUACUAAAUCAGAAUAGAAAUUAAAAAGCGCAAAACUAAAAUAUUGAAAUUACUAAACUUAUUUUCAGAACAUACUUAGGACAUCAAAAUGUUGAAGUUAUCCCACAUCGGUUGUGGUAAAAGCUAGUGAUGAGUUUAUAACUCUGAGGAAAAGUCAUGUCCUCAUAGCUAGUUUACGAGGUUGAGAAAUGCCCAAGGCCAGGCCUAAAACAGAUCAAAAAAUCACAGCAUCAUUUUCCAAAAGGAUUGAUAGUAGUAACAAAUAAAAUAAAAAAAAUCCAAAAUCGAUUGUUUUCCAAAAAUGCUUGAAUAAAAAUAAAUAAAAACACUUUUCCAAAAGCAUUGACAACAGUUUUAGAAUAAUUAGAGGAAAAAAAAAGGUUCCAAAAUCUAGUUGAAAACUGACAUCAGAAAUUGUUUUCUGAAAACACUUGAACAACAAUAAAUGAAAAUACUCUCAAGAAAUAAAAUACAAAAUCUAGUAGAAAAUUAAAAGCAGAAAUUGUUUUCCGGAAACACUUCGAAUAAAAAAUAAAUGAAAACACUCAGGAACACAUGAAGCAAAGAACAUAGGAAAACACGUGCAACACUUUUUAGAAAAGCUCAAAAACGCAUGGCGGAAACAGAGGAAACACUGGGAACACUUAUAAGAGGACACUCAAAAACACUUAAGAACAAGGUAGUUUGAAAAAGUUGUGAAAACAAAGACAAUUGACAAACGAAAAUUAAAAUGAAAAUAGAAAGUGGUGAGAAAAUACAAACCUUGUGAAUGUUGGGGCAGAAAAGUGCUGAAUGUGAAGAAACGAAGAGAAGAGAAAACCUGCAAAGAAAGAAAAUUAAUUAAAAAAAGAAGUAAUUACCUAAAACGAGAAAAGAUGAAAUAACACAGGAUUCUGCAUGAACUCGAAAUGAGAAAUUCUUUUAAAAGGAAAAAAAUUUGAACUUGAAAGACCAAAAUUUGCAAAGAAAAAACUAUUAAAAGGGGGAAAAAAAAAAAGUCCUGAGAUUUCAUGCGUUAACCUUUGGAGAUGAUCCUUUGUAGUCUGUAGUGAAAGAAGCUGAAAACAAAAUAUAUGCAGAAAAACCAUGUAAGCUGAAAACAAAACUUUUGACAAUGAGUGCAGAUGAAGCAUGGAAAGCCCAUUUGAAAAAACAGAAAAAUCAAAAAGAAAAAGAAAUAUGAAGCAUCACCAUCUUUUCUCAAAAUCCUCUGGGUUCCCCAUCUCCAAAUCAACACAAACCCACACCUCCAAAUCUUCAAAACCAACAAUGUGAAUUUUCAGUCAUGAACCCAAGAAGAGGAAUUUAUGACUCCUUUUCGACUCUCUUAAUUAAAAAUGACCACUGCACUCUAUAUAUAUAUAUAGAGAGAGAGAGAGAAGAAUGUUAUAUAUAAUUUUCCUUGCUUUUGUAAUAAUUUUGUAGUUGUUAGUACAAAAACAAGACCACUACCGAAGAAGUUUACACAUGUAUUUCCUCACACAUGUGGUGUGCCCACUUCAUCAUCUCAGUCUAAGUUGAAAAUGAAAAAUAAAAAAAUUAUAGACUACAAUAAUUUACUAUUAUUAGUAAACUAUGCUUAGAGGAGCACUAAAUUCCCAUUAGUUUGGGCACCAUUAAGUUUGAUUCGGUUUUUUAUCGAAUUGGGCUGAAUUGGCUUCGGUUCGGUUCUCUUUAAAUGGUAAUCGAAUUGAAUUGAAAAGCGAAUGAAUCGAAUGGAAAUUGACUGGUUCUGCUUCGACUUUUUGUAUAUUGAAUUUUUGGACCUCUGAGUCUUUGUUAUCAGUUGAAUUUUUUUUUUUCCGAUCUAUGAUUUUUAGUUUGGUUUCAAAUUCAAUGGCCUGAAUAAAAAAUAAGCCAAAAAAUUGUUUCAUAGAAAAUGAACCAAUCAAAUAUUUCAUUAUUAAACUGAAUCAAACUGACAGUUCGAAUCACAAUUUCAUUAUUCUGUUCCUGAGUUUUAUUGCCAGCACCGGCCCAGGUACCCAUCGUCUUCAAGCAAAAGACAAAGUUACAAAAGAUAAUUACUCGUGGAUCUAAUUGUUAUCAUUUUAUUCAGUUUUAUGUUCUUGUACAUUUUAUUUUUACCAGUAAAAUCAUUCCUUACCGUUUGUUUUCAAAGGGCCUGCAAAAUCACUUUUGUAUCCAAGUGUAAAAUAGAAAGGUAAUUAAAUUGAUCAAUGAUAUAACAACGAUACCUUUCUUACAACUUGAUAGUGUGAAGUAUCACCCACAAUACCAUACCAAAUGGUUGCACUUGACUUAACAAAAAUAUCAUGAUCUUAAUUCAGCAACAAUAAAAAUAUAAUUAUCAUUCAUGUUGCUGAAAGACAUUCCCACUUCAAAGCCAGUUAAACACUCAAUGACCAAAGUCCAAAACCUUAAGGAAUCAUUUACUUUUAAAUUGUGUUUUCAGUGACAUUUGUCUAUGAAUUUGAGCCUGAGGCUGAGAGCUAGAAAGGCUUUAGGUUACAAAGGCUUUGGGGUUAAUCUCUAACACGUUUUCCAAAUAUUACAAAUUAGAUUAAGACUAUGAUUUUGUAAAUUUUAACGAUUUCCAAUGUAAAAUUUUCCAUCUUAUUUAUUAUUGCAAUUAACUCAAUAGUUCUUUCAAAGUAUUAGAUUUGGUCCCAUGAUAAGGACAAAUUAAAAAGGAGGAAAAAGGAAAGCAUGUUUUCUAUUUUGGGAAAAAUUAUUUUGAAUAAACACUAAUGACUAUUAUCAAGCUUGAUUGGACUGUAUAAUUCCAUCGAGCUAAAGUGACAAGCAUGCUUCAAUCACAUUGUCAAUUUGUAAUAAUUCAAUUCUCUCUUGAAACUUUUUAUUAAUUAGGGAACAAUGACUCAUCAUUAAAAUUAAACUUUGCUUUCUAGGAUCGCAAGUUCAUCUUCAAAAUUCCUAAAUAGCUAUCUCUUCAUUGUCAUCAUUUUUAUCCACAUUAAUUAGCCUAUUCUUUUUCCAUUCAUUUUUCUUUAUUUUUGUGGUUUCUGGCUGUCUCCAACUCAUAUUUUAUCCUUUUUUUUGGUUUUUUUUUUGUUUGGGGGGGGGGGGGUGUUCGGGCUUACUGAUUAGUGGGUCAGUCAUGAACUAAGCAAUAAGCAAACAAAAUAUCAAAAUCAUAGUUACCUCAGCUUAUUUGAUUCAUUAAUUCUCAAUCUCAUUAAAUCAAAGUUACCUUAGCUUAAUAGAUUCAUUAAUUCUCAAUCUCAUUUCAUGGACCCACAUCGCAUAGAUGCAAUUUGGUUUAUAAAGCAAUAGAUGAAUUUCAUGAUGAACUCUCAUGUACAGCUAGCUAUUAGUCUACAAAUAUACUAUGGUAUUUUGAUUUGAUGUAAUUUUAUAUCCCUGCUAAUGCUCAAAUUGUUGGAGAAUUUGAAGAAUAAAACACAAAUUUUAUUAGAGAAAGCUCAAAAACAUUAUAAGAACAAUUCACACACUCUACAAAAAUCACUCUUUAAAGCUCGUUUACUUCUUAUGCUUUCUUCUUUUUCCACUUGAUGCAUACAACACAAAUGGCAUAGGUAUUUAUAGUGAAUGAAACACAAACAUAAUCAUAACAAUACACAUCACCUAACAUGUUCCACCAAGUUUUCAUCAUAGCACCAAACAUAUUCCACUCACCUAAGAUGCUCUAAAGGAAUCCUUUAAUGGCAUCUAAAGUGUAAAGCUAAUCUCUACUCAAUUGAAUGCUUUAUGGGCAUAAUAUUGUAGGACCAUGAUGAUGAAGCAUGAUGAGGGGCCAUGUGCAACUCAACACCUCAUUCCACUUGAAUGAAUUAUUUGUGUAAAACAAGUUUAUUGUUUUCAACACUCUCCCUUAAACUUGUUUUAUGACACCAAGUAUAUUUCUGAAUCUGAUAAAAUCUUCUAGCUUGAGUGGUUUGAUGAAAAUAUCAACUGCUUGAUCUUUUGACAUCACCCAAUCAACUUGUGUAUCCUUUCUUGUGAUGCAUUCUCUUAUAUAAUGAUAGCGAGUAUCGAUAUGUUUACUUCGAUCAUGGAAGACUGGAUUCUUGAAUAGAGCAAUUGCUGACUUGUUAUCCACACAAAUCUUGGUUGGCUCUACUUGUGGUAAACCCAACUCCUUCAGUAAAUUUCUGAGCCAAAUUGCAUGGCAAACACUUAAUGUAGCAGUUACGUACUUGGUUUCACAAGUGGAAAGUGUGACAAUUGGUUGCUUCUUUGACAUCCAUGUGAAAGCAGUAUCUCCUAUAAAGAACACAAAUAUGGUAGUGCUCUUUCGAUCAUCUACAUCUCUACCCAAAUCGUUGUCGCUAUAUCUAACAAGCUUGUAGUCAUUAGGCAAUGAAUAUAACAAGCCAAAAUCAAUUGUACCUUUGAUAUAAUGAAGGAUUCUUUUUACAGUCUUGAAAUGAGUGAUAUUUGGAUUCUCCAUGUCUCGACUUACAAGUUCAACAGCAUAAAGGAUGUCAGGUCUCAUACAUGUCAAGUAAUGCAGACUUCCAACAAGGCUUUUGAAAAAAAUUGGAUCUACUUCUUCUCCUUCAUCAUACUUGGAUAACUUGACUCUGCACUCCAUUGGUGUGCUUAUUGGAUUGCAAUCACAUCUUGAACUUUUUGAAUAUCUCAUUUGCAUAACUUUCUGAAGAAAUGAAAAUGUCAUCUUCAUGAUACUUGACUUCAAUGCUGAGAUAAUAUGCCAUCAAUCACUCUCUUGAAAUCUUCAAAUAAGCUUGGAUUACUUCCAGUGAAGAUGAGAUCAUCCAAGUACAGACAUACAAUCAAAAUAUCUCCAUCUUUUUUUGUAAUGUAGAGAGCAUGUUCAUAUGGGCAUUCGGUGAAGCCAUUUUCUUGAAAAUACUUGUCAAUUCUGCUAUUUUGUGCCCUUAGUGUUUGCUUUAACCCAUAAAGAGUUUUCUUCAAUUUUAGAACUUUGUCUUCAUGUCCUUUCACCACAUAGCCUAAUGGUUGUUCUAUAUAAACUUCUUCUUCGAGGAAUCCAUUCAAGAAGGCAGACUUCACAUCUAAUUGAAAAACCUUCCAUUUUUUUCCGAGCAGCCAAAGAAAUAAUAAGCCUAAUAACUUCAAGUCAGGCUACAGCAGUAAAUGCCUUAUUGAUAACUCUAUGAAAUGAGAGUUAUUAUGACACUUUUAAACUUAAAUCAAGAUUACUUAGAGAGUAAAUGACAUAUUCUUAUUGCAUUCUAGUUGUAUUCUGCAUGAAUAUCUAUUUUAGUUUAUUUUUAAUAAACUAUGUUGUGUUAUAAUAAUUUGUGUGCUUAGAUUGAGUGCAUAGUUGUAGGUGAUCAGAGGCUCAAAUUUCAAAGGAGGAAUGCUGCUGCAAUAAGCUUGCAAAAAUAAGGAAAGAACUUUGCUACAGAAGAAUUGAAACAAGUCUGGAAUAGUGCAGAUUUUGUACCCGUUACUGCAGCAAACGUUGCUGUAGCAAUCCUAGAGCAUUGACAAAGAAGAUUUCGUGCGAGAUACUUAUAAGAUUACGAUCUGCAGUUUCCAAAUCUGGAAGAUACGUGCCCUAGACUUGCGGUUGUCCUAAUUUUCAAUUAUAAAAGAAGCACACACGCAAAAGAAAAGAGGAGCCGUCAACAAAGAAGAAGAACCGAAAAUAAACAAGAGGAAAACAAAAUUGAAGAGCAAGAUUUGGGGCUGCAUCAGAAGAGAAAAUUUACAGAGAUCAAUUGGAAAAAUAGUUCUUCUUAAUCUUUCUUGUUUACUUGUUUACUCUUUAAUCAUGGGGCUGUAUUUGAUGGCUGAAACUCUUUUAUUUAUUUUUCUUUUGCAAAACGUGAGCUAAAUUUAUUUGUGAUUGAGUGAUAAAUAUUCUUGAUGGUUACUUAACUGAAUAUAUGUGUUGAUGCAUGUUUGCUAUAGCAUGUUGUUUUGAUAAUACUUAUUUUAAUUCACUAUUUUAGCUGACCGCCCAUUUAGUGAUAUAAGCUAAGAAAAAGCCACAAAAAGGCCUAUCUUAGUGGAACAUAGUAGAGCAAUACUUGGUUUUAUAUUGGGUUUCCUGAAUUGAGUUUAACUUGAUUCCAAAAUGGCCAUGCUUGAUCUAAAAUUAGUGAUGAACUGACAUAAGGAUUCACCUUAUAGUAUAAAUAGAACCUAAACGUGUAAUGAUAUAUCUUAUGUUAGCAUAGCAAUUGGUUACUAUUAAAUUACAUUAAGGUAUAAGAUAUCCAACAAGCGACAGCUGAGGAUACAUAAGGAUUCUGCGCAGUGCUAUAGCAGAUGUUGUGGCAACCGAACAAAAAAUUAGAAGAGACGGUCAAAACCAUUAAGAGAGUUUAAUAACUCAACUACUCCAUUUUUAUUGGUUUUAUCAUUGUGUUUGACGUGAGAAUUUUAUUUAGUAUAUUUUUAAUUAUUGCAUUUUUAUUUUUAUUUAUUUAUUCGUUUAAUUAAUUAUCUUAUCUUAAUUUAGAACAAAAAUUGUACUGUCAAAGGAUUGUUAUAGCAAAUCCGAUAGCAUCAGUCCCUGUGAAGACGAUCUCGAAUACUUAUCAUUAUAUUACUUGUUGUGUAUACUUGCACAUUGACAUUCAUAACAGAGAAAAUACACACCAUUCAUCAUAGUCUAUGCCAAACUUUUGACUAUAACCUUUUGCAAUCAGUCUUGCUUUGUGCCUACAAUUUCUCUUCGUCUUGUACACCCAUUUGACAUCGAUCGCCUUGUGACCUCUGGGAAGAGUAAUAAGUUCGCAAGUGUCAUUCUUCAUGAUAGUUUUGAUUUCUUCAUCCAUUGCGAUUCUCCACUUCUCAUCUUGUGCAUCUUCUUGGAAGUUGAUUGGCUCGCAAUCAGCAAAGAAGCAAAAGAGAGUGAGAUUGUCAAGUCUCUCAGUUACCUCAUAGAGAUCUUUAAGACUCCUUAUACAUUUCUUGAUUCUUUCAUUUAAGAAAGAUGGUGGUGAAUCUCCACUUGUGAUUGAUGCUAGUGAGAUGGGUGGAGUAGCUGGCUCUUGUUGUUCUUCUACUUGUUUUAUCUGUGUAUGAUCAUCUUCUUCAAUAAGAAAGAAGUUGAAGUCAUCCACACUAGAGACAAAAUCUCAUUCUCCUUCUUCAUAAAAAAUUACAUUUUGGCUAAUCACGAUCUUCCCGUUGUUUGGAUUGUACAACUUGUAUCUUUUGGGAUUAUUGUCAUAGCCAAUGAAGAUGAAUUUCUCACUUUUGUCAUCCGGCUUGACUCUUCUCUCGAUUGGUACAUAUACAUGGGUAAAUGCUUCCAAAAACUGUCAGAUGGGCGAUGACGGGCUUCCUUCCACUCUAUGUUUCUUGUGGCAUCUUGCCUUGUACACCUCUUAUUGGAGAUCGAUUGGAUAAGUAGACUGCACAUGCAACAGAUUCAGCCCAAAAUUCUUUAGGUAGCCUCUUACUCUUGAGCAUGCUUCUUGCCAUGUUGGGGAUGAUUCUGUCAUCCUUUCUGCAACACCAUUUUGUUGGGGGGAUCUUAAAACUGUUAAAGUGCGUCGAACUUCAUUUGCUUAAUAAAAUUCUAUGAAUUCUUUAGAAGUAAACAUUCCACCUCGAUCAAAUCUCAUGGCAUUAAUAUAGUAUCCAUUUUUUUUUCACUGCAGCUUUAAACUUCUUGAAAGAUUCAAAGACUUCUGACUUCUGCUUCAAAAAAUACAACUGAGUUUUUCUUGAAAAAUCAUCAAUGAAAAAAAGAAAGUAGUUACUUUUACCAUGGGAACUUGGCUUGAAUGGAUCGCACACAUCAGUAUGAAUAAGCUUGCGUGGCUUCCGAGCUCUUGAGUUUGACUUCUUUGGAAAGCUUUUUCUAAACUACUUGCCAAGUAAACAUCCUUUAUAAAGUUGAUUAGGAUGAUUGGUUGAAGGUAAGCCUUUCACCAUGUUCUUCUUUGAUAGUAGUUCUAGUUGACUAAAGUUGAGAUGCCCAAAUAGAAGAUGCUAAAUCUAGGUUGGAUCUUUGUGACAAGCCUUGAGACACUUUGCAAUAUCAUUUUGAAUAUUUAAAGGAACCAUUCUAUUCUUCGAAAUUCUCACCCUUGUAAUUAAAUUUCCUUUAUCAUCUCUUCGAAAAAGAUUAUAAUCUUUUAAGUGAAUAUCAUAACCUUUUUCCAAGAGUUGACCUAAACUGAGGAUAUUGCUUUUCAUACUAGGCAGAUCUUUUGCACGAAAAAAAAAUGUUAAUGUUACCCUUUACUAGUACUUUUGAAUCAUCUCCAAAAGUGACAUUGCCAUUCAUAGAUUUAUUUAGUUCUACAAACAUGCUUCUGUUUCUGCUCAUGUGAUUGCUAGCACCUGUAUUCAGAUACCAUAUUUUUUUCUUGACCUUCUCUAGUAUUAUUGCGUGCUAGUAAAAGUGUAUCAUUUUUACCAUUCUUCUCUUCAAUAUAAUUCACUCUCUUCAUUAAUUCUAGUACUUGGAGCUCUACAUUCUGAAGCAUAAUGCCUAAACUUUUAACAAUUAUAGCAUUGUACUUAGAAUUGGUCAUACCUCGAUCUCGAAUUGCCUCUACCUCAUCCUCUGGUUGAGCUUUCUUCUUUUGCAUAAUUGGAGUUGUUGAUAUUCCAACCUCGUCCAUAACCAUGACUCUUUCUUAUCCUUGACCUCUACCUCGGACAUAUUGUCUUUUCCCGUUGUCGGUGCUUUCUUCUCUUUUAUUUGGAUUGACUUCCAUCUGAGAAGUUAUUUUUCAACUUCUUGCUUCUUUUUCAGUUUUUCUACAUAAGCUUGCAACAUUCCUUGAAGUUGCUCCAUCGUCAUUGCCUUUAAAUCUUUUGUUUCCUCAAUUGUCACAAUAAUAUGGUCAAACUUUGAGUCUACUGAUCAAAGUAUCUUUUCAAUGAUCCUUACCUCUUUUAACUCCUCAUCAUUUCUUUUUAGUUCAUUGGAAAUGGUCACAACUCAAGUAAAAUAGUCAGAAAUCAACUCGGAUGCCUUCAUGCGUAAGGACUCAAAUUCUCCUCGUAAUGUUUAGAGACAAACCUUCUUAACUUACCCCGCCCCUUUAUAAAAGGUCUUUAGCUUCUCUCAUACUUCUUUUGAAGAGGUUGCACUAGCAAUCGUUAAGUCUUUCAAAUUCUCCUUUUACACCGCAGUUAAAGUAGCUUCAUUUUCUGGUAGAGUAAAACCUUCCUCUAUGACGUCCCAUACAUUAUGUGCACCCUAUAGAGCCUUUAUUUUGAUACUCUAAUUGUCGAACUUACUUCCUUUUAAUUGUGGAACUUGAAAUAACAUCAUACCACCAUUUUCCAUAACUUACAAAUUGGGUGACAAUUUGAAGAUUUUAAAUGCACGAAUGGAUCCGGAAUGUCGAAAAACCUUAGGAAGAACUCGGAUCAACUUUUGGUCAACGGUCAACGCCAGUCAAUGAUCAAUGCCAGUAAUGGUUAACUCCAAUCAACAGUCAACUUUGGUCAACUCAAAUCCGGGUUGGUUUAGCUUGGUUCGGCUUGGUUCAACUUGAAUUAUCUCGGUGAGUCGACUCAGCUUCAAGAUAGAAACUUCUGGCGGCGAGUGUAGGCGCGUCCGGACUUCGAUCGGGAUAAUUUUUACGGUGUCGCGUUCCUCUCGUUGAGAUCUUCGAUUUGAUAUGCGACUAUAUAUAGUAUCGAACACUAGCUCUAAUACCACUUUGUUGGAGAAUUUAAAGAAUAAAACAGAAAUUUUAUUAGAGAAAGCUCAAAAACAUUACAAGAACAAUUCACACACUCUACACAAAUUACUCUUAGAAGUUAUUUUGCUUCUUUUGCUUUCUUCUUCUUACACUUGAUGCAUACAACACAAAUGGCAUAGGUAUUUAUAGUGAAUGAAACACAAACAUAAUCAUAACAAUACACAUCACCUAACAUGUUCCACCAAGCUUUCAUCAUAGCACCAAACAUAUUCCACUCACCUAACAUGCUCUAAAUGAAUCUUUUAAUGGCAUCCAAAGUGUAAAGCUAAUCUCUACUCAAUUAGAUGCUUCAUGGGCAUAAUAUUGUAGGACCAUGAUGAUGAAGCAUGAUGAAGGGCCAUGUGCAACUCAAUACCUCAUUCCACUUGACUGAAUUAUUUGUGUAAAACAAGUUUAUUGUUUUCAACACUCUCUCUUAAACUUGUUUUACGACACCAAGUAUAUUUCUAAAUCUUAUAAAAUCUUCUAGCUUGAGUGGUUUGGUGAAGAUUCUUUUUCUACUUACUAGUAUGACAUCUAAGCAUCCCAUAUAAACAUAUUAACUAAUAAAUAGUUAAAAUAUUUCUAAGCACUCUGUGUAAAUAAUCUAAUGCAAGACACAAAAUCAAAGACAAUCGUAUAUAAGCUUUUAUAGAUCCAAGGAUAAAUUUAGUCAAAUAUUAAUCUAACAAUCAAUAUCACAUGACAGAAAUAGUGAAAAAAAUUAACUAUAUUUAACCAAACAUAUGAAACAAGAACCAUGAACGUUAAAGCACACAUAUAGGAAAUUAAUUGAAUAAAAGUAAUUUAUUUUAUUAAAUAGGACUUCAUCCUUAACCCUAGUACAUAAUUGAAUUGGGAAUGAAAAAUAAGAUAAAACCGGUCACCUACAUUAAUCCAAGCAGUCAUCCCUUCUGAAUUUGUCUCCCUCGUGAAAGCCAAAAACUUGGCAUAUAUAAUGGCAUCCUUAACCCUAGUACAUAAUUGAAUUGGGAAUGAAAAAUAAGAUAAAACCGGUCACCUACAUUAAUCCAAGCAGUCAUCCCUUCUGAAUUUGUCUCCCUCGUGAAAGCCAAAAACUUGGCAUAUAUAAUGGCCAAGCCACUUAAAGCAGCCGACUACAUCAUUUUUGCAAGCCAAAUCCUAAGAUAUAAAACACUUUACACUUGUAAAAGCCCACAAUCUUCUUUCCUUUGAUUUGGUUCCCCUUCUAAUUACUUGCACGCAUAAUUCUUUUAACAUCAUCAUGGCUUCGACUUUAUGUUUAAUUUCUCUUCUUUGAUGUGCGGCUUUGAAUCUUCAUGCUUAAUCUCAACAACUUCUAAUUCCCUCCAAUUUGAUUCUUUUAAGCAUUGUUUAUUUCUUAAUCUUCAAUAAAUUACAUGUUUAAUAAAAUAAUGCAAUUAACUAAAAUUAUCAAAUAAAAAUACCUAGUAAAUAUAAAACGAAGGGUAAUAUAUUUCUAAUUAGUUCCUCGUUUACACUGAGAUUUUUAAUAGGACUAGGGUUCUCCAUUUAUUUACUAACCAACAUUGGUAUUUUAAUUCCCCUUGUCAUUAGAACAUUGAAUUGAACCACCAUUUUUUUCAUCGAGCUCUGUUGUCCCUAUUUAUGCGAAAACACAAUGUAUGAAUAGUCAAUUGAAAGAAAUCAUUCUUUCUUGUGAGACCCCCAGAGUAUCACUUCGCUAUGCAAGACCCUUUUCAAUUCAAAAUAGCGGCGGCUCUUGUAUUAUGUAAAAUUCGUAUUUGGGGAAAAAAGAGAAAUAUUUGUUCUCUCUUAUAAAUGAACUUUUUUUUUCAUAAAAUCUAGUAUGUGUUUGUGUGUAUAAUAUGCUCAUCAAGAAGCCAAGAGGAAGAGAAGUAGCCGUUGCAAGAGAUCUAGAGAGAAGCUAAGAUUAAUUCAUGAGUUUUUAUUUCCUUUUCUAUAUUGCUUUGCUUAAAUGUUCCCAAUUAAAUUUAUACAUUCUCUUUAUAUUUUCAUAAACUAAUUUAUUUUGCUAUAACUAUGAUGUAGCAUAACUAUGAAGAUUUAGUUGCAUUUGUACUUGGGAGACCGCCUAUUGUAAGUAGUGUGUAUUUAUGCAUGUCGAGGAAUGUUCUGUUAACAAAGUGAUAAGAGUCUAAAGAGUCUGGGUUUUAAAUGGGACUGUUGUGACCCCUCCAUUCUACUCAAAACUUUCUUGGUGCAUUUAUUCACACGAAAUUAACAUCAUAGAGGUUGUUUUUCAAGUGUAAAUAAUUGUUGAAGACACUAGUAUUUUGAGUUAAGAAGGAUGGCAUAUGCAUUGUCGUUGUCUUCAUUAGCAAGAACUACUAUGACUAAUGCAAAAUUGGAAGUGGAGAAAUUCAAUGGUACCAAUAAUUUUUGUAUGUGGCAGUGUAAGGUGUUGAAUGUCUUAUGUCAGCAAGACUUGGAGCUCGCUCUUAAAGAAAAGCCUGACAAAAUGGAUGACAAGGAGUGGAUAAAUAUCAAUAGACAGGCAUGUGGUACUAUUAGUUUAUGUCUGGCUAAAGAUCAAAAGUAUGUCAUGAUAGAAACAUCAAAAAAGAAAUUGUGGGAAACACUAAAAGAAAAGUACAUGAAUAAACGCCUAAAAAAUAGGCUUUAUACAAAGAAAAAACUCAAUCGAUUCAUGUAUGCACUAGCAUGUUGAUGAAUGAUCAUGUAAACUCAUUUAACAAGAUAUUGGCAGAUUUGCUAAAUUUGGAUGAGAAAUUUGAAGAUGAAGAUAAGGUAUUGUUGAUGUUGAAUUCUUUUCAUAUUAAAUAUGAUUAUCUCACCACCACUUUGCUUCAUAGGAUGGGCAGUUUCACAUUUGAUGUUGUAUGCAGUGUGUUGUACAACUCUAAGACUAGAAAGAAAGACAGAAAGGAUCACAGGGAUACAAUUAUCGAAGCAUUGACAAUGAGAGGUCAUUCACAAAGCCACAAACUUGGACAAAAAGAGCAAGUCUAAAGGAAUGCCUACCAAAGAUGAAUAUGCCUUUUGUCGUCAAAAAGGGAUUGGAAAAAGAAUUAUCCUAAGCUAUAAAAGGGUAAGGCUAUUUCUGAUGUAUGUGUAGCAGAGCAUGAUGAGGAGUCAGACUUUAGUUUGAUUGGCAUGACAUUGACAUGUCACUCAGACGAAUAGAUUUUGGAUUCGGGUUGUACUUAUCAUGUGUCCUAAUAAGGACUGGUUUUCUAGCUUCAAGGAACUGCACGGUGGAGUUGUUUUUAUAAGCAAUGACAAUGCCUAUAAAACCAUGGGAAUAGGUACAAUCCAAUUGAAGAAUCAUGACAGCUCAAUCUAAGUCUUGACAAACGUUCACUACGUACCAAGUUUAAAGAAAAAUCCCAUCUCAUUAGGAGUCCUAGAAUCUAAAGGGCUUACAAACACUCUGAGAGAUGGAUUUUUAAAAGUAGUAGCUUGUGUACUGACAGUGAUGAAAGGCACAAGAAGAAAUAACUUAUACUAUUUCCAAGGAAGUACAGUUAUUGGAUCAGCAUCAACAAUUUAUGGAAAAAAAAAUGCAGAUUCAAAAGCAACCAGGUUGUGGCAUAUGCGUUUGGGACAUGCUGGGGAAAAAGCAUUGCAAACUUUGGUAAAACAAGGCUUAUUGAAAGGUGCAUAUUCUUGCAAAUUGGAAUUUUAUGAACAUUGUAUUAUAGGCAGGCAGGCAAGGGUAAAGUUUGGUUCAGCAAUUCACGAUACAAAAGGAAUUCUAAACUAUGUUCACAGUGACAUAUGAGGAUCUACCAAAACAGCUUCUUUGGGAGGUAUGUACUAUUUUGUUACUUUUUUUUAUGAUUAUUCAAGAAAAAUAUGGGUGUAUUUGAUGAAAAACAAGAAUGAAGUUUCAGCACAUUUUUUAAAUGGAAAAAAAGGAGGCUCAGACUAGUCGAAAGGUGAAAAGAGUUUGCUCAGACAGUGGUGGUGAGUGCAAGAAUGAUCCAUUUCUACAAAUAUGCCGAGAUGAAGGCAUUGUACGACACUUCACUGUUUACGAUAUACUACAACAUAAUGAGGUGGUAGAAUGCAUGAACCAGAUUAUACUGGAGAAAGUUCAGUAUAUGUUGUCCAAUACUGGAUCGGGCAAGAAAUUUUGGGCUGAGGCAGUUGUAUAUGUGUGCCAUCUGAUCAACUAUUUUCCAUCAGCUGCAAUUGAGGGUAAAACACCCAUGGAGAUGUGGACUGGUAGACCUACUAGUGAUUAUGAUUCUUUACAAGUUUUUGGUUCCACUGCUUAUUAUCAUGUAAACGAUAUAACCAAUGGAGUAAAAGGAUAUCGUCUCUAGUGUCCUGUUACAAAUAAGAUUAUUUUCAGCAAAGAUGUGACUUUUGAUGAAUCAGGCAUGUUGAAACAAAAAGAUUUACAAAAUGAUGACAAAACUAAUGGUACUUUGCAACAGGUCGAUUUUGAAAAGCUUAAAGCUGAUCUAGCUGGAGUCAAUGAGACGGAAAAUGAUUCUUUAUCGACUAAGGAUGAAGAAGAGGUCCUGACCCAGGAACCUUCACAAUAACAAAAUUCAAUUGCAUAUAGAAGGCCACAAAUGGAGAUUCACAGACCUGCUCGCUUUGUUGAUAUGAUGGCCUAUGUAUUUUUAAUUGCAGAUGAUGAUGUUUCUUUCACUUAUAGAAAAGUAGUAAGUAGCCCUGAAAGUAUACAAUGGAAGCUAGCAAUGAAUGAAGAAAUGCAGUCUCUUCAUAAAAAUGGAACUUAGAAGUUGGUUACAAGUAAAUUGGGUGCAAAUAGGCAUAUACAAAGAAGGAAGGAUUUCCUCAUAAGAAUAAAAGUCAUACAAGGCUAUAUUGGUAGCGAAUGGUUACACUCAGAAUGAAUGAAUAGACUACAAUGAGGGUGAUUUGGAAAAGGAAAUCUACAUGAAAUUUCUUGCUUUUCAAUGGAAGCACAGCAUAUGGCUAGCAACUUUUUAACUGUAAUUGCAUGUGCUAGCAUGAAAUUUCUUGCUUUUCACCAAAGUCAACAACGAAGCCAUUAAAAUUGAAAAAUGGCCAAGAUUUUUUUUCAUGCAUUCAGUUUGUGAGUUAAAAAAUGGCCAAAAGUGGUAUAUUACCGGACAAUGUUCUUGCUCUAUAAGUGCAUUUAUUAUCCCCAUAUAGGGAAAUGGGGAAUUGAAAGAGUUCGACAAGUAAAUAUUUGACACAGAUUUUGACGGAAAGACGUAUAUGUAUGGUUAGCAUUUUUAUUUAAUGGUGUUCCGAAAAAAAAAAAAAGAAAUCUUUUUUAUUUAGUGCGGAAAUCAAGUAUUUCUUCAAAACACAGUGUUUAGAGAUUAGAAACCACAGAAUUAACUUAAGAAUUAGCUUAACAAUAAUUAAGUUUACUGAUAUUUGCUAUUUUCCAUCAGCCCAAAACCACGUCAAACACUUGAUACUAAAAAAUUGAAAGCUUUAACGUAUAUUGAACUUUAUUGUAGAUAUCUAUGUGGUUACCUUAAUUUAUUAAAAUGCAUGUUCCAUUGAAACGGGCUCCAAUAGUCAGCCUGGUUCUUUCGGGUACUGGUUUCAAAUUCAAUGGACUGAAUAAAAAAAUAAGACAUGUUUAUUGGUUUAUCAAAAAUCGAAUCAAUCAGUUUUCUCAUUUAUAAAACUGAAUCAAACCGGCAGUUCGAAUUACAAUUUAUUCGAUUCAUGAGUUUUAUUGCCUAUCCCUACCGAUCGUCCUCAAGCAAAAGACAAAGUUACUCCUUAUUUGUCAAAACAAAAUUACUGAUAGAUCUAAUUGUUAUCAUUUUAUUCAGUUGUAUUUUGUUGUACGUUUUAUUUUAUUUUAUUUUAUUUUUACCAGUAAAAUUAUUCCUUACCGAUUGAUAUCAUAGGGCCGGCAAAAUCACUUUUAUAUCCAGGUGUAAAAUAGAAAGGUAUGUAAAUUCAAUGAUAAUAACAAAGAUACCUUUAAUAACAAAAAUUUCACCCGCCAUACCAAAUAGAACUUGAUGACGUGAGGCAGCACCUACCAUACCAAACGGUUGCAUUUGACUUAACAAAAAUAUCAUGAUCUCAAUUCAGCAACAAUAAAAAUAUAAUUAUUAUUCGUAUUAAUUGUCUCUAAUUAAGAUAAUUGGCAAUACUUUCAAAAACAUUCCCACUUCAACGCUAGUUAACCACUAAUGACCAAAAAACCUUAAGGAGUCAUUUACUUUUAAUUUGUGUUUCCGGUGACAUUUGUUUACGAAUUUGAGCCUGAGGCUAAGAGCUAGAAAAGCUUUAGGUUACAAGAGAGAGUUCUGUAAUUGGGAUCAUGCAGAUGCAUUUGUUUAGGUUCAUCUCCAACACGUUUUCCAAAUAUUACGUAUAAGAUUAAGAUUAUGACAUUACAAAUUUUAAUGAUUUCCAAUGUAAAAUUUUCCAUCUUAAUUAUUAUUAUUUAUUGCAGAUAACUCAAUAGCUGUUUCCAAGUAUAAGAUUUUGAUCCCAUGAAAAGGACAAAAAGGAGGAAAAACGAAAGCCUAGUUUCUAUUUUGGGAAAAAGAAUUUUGAAUAAGCACUAAAAUUAGUGGUUUAUUUUUUUUUUCUUUAUUUCUUAUUUUUCGAAAGGAGGAUUAAAAUACAAAAAUUAGUGGUUAGAAUUUAAAUAGAGUGAUAAUUUGUGAUUAGUAAUGGAAUCCGAUAAAGGAUAUAUAAGCAACAAGAGGUGGGCUCGGCUUGAGGUUGCGUAAAAAUUAUUUUACAACAUAAAUUCAAAGAAAUGCAAUAACUCAAUUUCCCAUUCUGUCAAAGACAUGAAAGGGACAAUUACAAGGAGAGUUUUCUAUUACUGCUCACAAACUGCAUAUUUGAAUUCCUUGUUCGAACAUUAUAUAUUCUUAUUCAUUAAUAGAAUAUUCAAACUUCAAAUUCAACUGCAGCAAUAUUGUAAUGGAAUCAAAGAGAGGAGAAAAUUUCUUGCAAAAUUAAUUAAUCAAUAAUUUGAGCCUCUUUUUUCUCAAGUACAGCAUUUAAUUUGUUGGUUAAUAGUUCUACCAAUCAAUUCAAUAAUCCAAUGUAUAAUUAUUAUCAAUCUUGAUUGGGCUAUAUUUCUCAAUCGAACUAAAGCGACAGGCAUGCUUCAAUCACGUUGUAAAUUUGUAAUAAAUCAAUUCUCUCUUGAAACUUGUAAUCAAUUAGGAAACAAUGAGUCAUCAUUGGAAUUAAACUUUGCUUUAGAGGAUCACAUGUCCAUCAUCUUCAAAUUUCCUUAAAUAGCUAUCUCUCCAUUGUAAUCCUUUCCGUCCACUUUAAUUAGCCUACUUUUUUCCAUUCAUUUUUCUUUAUUUUUGUGGUUUUUGGCUGUCUCCAACUCAUAUUUUAUCUUUUUUGUUUUUUGGGAAGAUAGGAGUUAAGUGAUUAGUGGGUCAGCAAUAAACUAAGCUGUAAGCAAACAAAAUAUUGAAAUCAACGUUACCUUAGCUUAUUAAAAUCAUUCAUUCUCAAUCUUAUUUCAUGUAACCACAUCACAUGCUUCAAUUUCCUUCAUUAAGCAAUAGAUGAAUUUGAUGAUGAACUCUCACGGCUACCUAUUAGUCUAGAAUAGAGAGGCCAACGGCCUGGACAGCACGUGGCACAGCAUGAGCACAACAUUUAUCUGUAUAGUAUGGCACAGUAUGAGUAUGUUUUGGUAGGGUAUGCGGCAUGGCACGUCACAUACGAGAGCUGGGCUGGGAUGAUGAUUUUAAUCACACGGGCCUUAAAAGUAUGGUACGAUUAGAGAUGGGUAAAAACAUGACAUGUAAAAAAAGUUAGUAAUGAGCAUGCUUCACUUUUUAAUGAAAUUUUUUAACGAAAGUAAACUUAAAAUUUUACGAUUUAAUAAGUAACUUGAAAUUGAGUAUUUUAAUUUAUUUUAUUGCCAUAAAUUUUCUAUAUUCAUUUAAUUCUUAGUUUAAAAAAAUCUAAUUGUUUUAUGUUUAUAAUUUAUCAAAUAAAUAGACGAUAUCAUGCUUUUAACAAAAUAAAAAUAAAAAUAUCAUGUAUGUAUUAAUGUCAUUAUGGACUAUGAUUUAUGACUCUAUGUAAGUUCAAGUUAACAACUAAGUUAGCUCCUAAGAAAAUUUAUUGUUGUUGUUGUCAAGUAUUAAAAAAGAAUUCUAAUAUCAUAGGGUCUAACUUGGUAGUUAGUAUUACAUUCUCUUAUUAUUAUUAGUUUAUUAUUAUUGAAUAUGGACAUGAGUUUUGAACUUUUUGAUUCUAUCGAAUUAAAAUAAGGACACGUGUACCCAAAAGAAAAAUACACGGGCUUGAAAAAACUACGCCAAAAGCUUGGCAUGUCCUCUUAAAAAAAAUUUUAAAAAAAAACUUGUCGUGCUUUUCUUCUUAGGCACGGCCCAGGGCACUAGGCCUAAGCCAAAAAACUCGCACAACAUUGUGCUCAAUGAAGAUCACAAUUUAGGAAUGAAUGAAUAUUGAAAAUUGAAAAUUGAAAAUACAGAUAAACACAGAGUGAAUGAAUGAAUAUUGAAAAUUUCUCGAAUUCCCUAACUGCCAAAUUAAAAUGCAUUCAUUAUUCGUUGAACAGAAGAAAGACCAUCCAAUUUCCACGAAAGCAUUUUUUUUUCUUUAUUAUUUUUAGCUAAAUUCUCUAUCUAAUCAACUUGAGGGGGAAAGAAAAUUCUACUUACAGAAAUACUUAAAACAAUAUUUUCAAACCUAAAUCACUAUCACCGCCUGAAGUUGUACUCCGAAGAAACUCGUGCCCAAUAAGAGAAAUUUGGUUAUGUGCGUAAAAAUUUUCUACAAUUUAGGAAAAAAAAUCGAAUCAUAUAUGGUUAAUCAACUGAGCCAACUCAUGACUUUGUCCCCAUUCAUAAGUUUGUCCCAUUUCCUUUUCUUGACACAAGGUCUUUGCUUGAAGACCACUUCAAUGUCAGAACAAGGAAAAUCACCCUUUACAUUCCAUGUGCAAUUGUUUGUCCCAUUUACAGUAAAAGUCAGUACUAAAUUGAUAUCCGAUCCCAUGCGUGACUUCAAAGAGGGUUUUCACUUGAUUGUGCUUGUGCGCGUAGCAUCUCAAAGAAGCCAUCGAGAUUUUCAGGCAAGAAGCUAAGUAUAUGGAAAGAAAAGUUUGUGAAUAUGAAAGUAAAUGUCCGUUUCCUCCCUAUAAUUUGAGACUUGGAGCGAAUUACUCAGUUAGUCUAUAUACUUUAAAAUGAAAAAAGAAUAAAUAGGUUUUUGCUAUGUAUUUGUUUCCGUGAAAAUCUACUCAUUAUAUCCAAUAACUACAGAAGUAACGACAGAAAUUUUCUGGGUAAUGUUUAAAACUUUAUGUAGUAAUUGAUGAUUGACUCAAACUACGGGGGGCAAAAGAGUAGUUUCCGCAGAAAGUAACUCCUUUUUGUGAAAAUCAAUUCGAAUAUAUUCAGCAAACAUCAUCAAAUACUUCAUGGAUCGGUUAAAGAAUAUGAAAUCAUACAGCUGUGAAGGAAAAUUUAUGCUUUACUUAGGCAAGAGAAUCAUUAUAGAGCAAUUUAUGAGAAAUUUUGAUAAAUUGAUGGGACAUUUAAAUUAUUAUAGAGAAUCAUCAUUAGGCAAGAAAAUUAAAUUUAUGAGAAAUUUUCAAGAUACAAUUUUUUUUCUGGAUACAUAUCUCAAAAUUGUAUCUCAAAUAUUUUAUUUCGAAUAAAAUGACAUUCAACAAGGUGUCGUAAUGUAAUUAAUUCACUUAUAACUUGCGAAAGUCUUUAAUUACCCCUGGAUAAAUGACACACCAUGUCGUUUCUUAUAAGGUAAUCAAUAAAAAUGAAGAAAAAUAAGAUUUCUUCUUUUAUCGCUUGAAUGCAAAAGCCUGCAUGGCUUACAAGUGUAUAUUCCAAAUUUAGUAAACUUUAUUCUAUUUCUAACGUCUCGUAUUCGAAAUUAAUGACCUAGGAAAAAACCAGGAAACAAGAGAAGCUUGUCAGUAACAAUCGUCCCAGAGAAUUUCUCUGUGACCGUUACACAGGAAGCUACAGUACAGGUUCUUGGCUCCUUGCUAAGUCCCAUAUUUAAAGGGAACCCAUUCACAGACUUACAAACUCGUUCCAUUGCUACAAAUUCUUGAUCUUUGUUCUUGUUAUUGUUUUUUAGCCAUGUCUUUAACUCUUAGGUCUCGGAAACCAAUUGAAAAUACAAUGCCGAUCAAUGAAUUAGAACUUGACCUCUUCUUGCUUUCAAAACGCCACCAAAGAAGGUGGCGAAUGGCCUUUAGAGUCAUAUGCUUCACCAGAGCUCUUGUUUCAAUGUCCAGAAAGUGUCUUCAAAACAACAACCAAAUCUUGCUUCGCUCCCUCUCUUACGUUGCCGUCGACAUUAGUACCAGUGACGACCAUGAAGUUCCCUUUGUCGGGGUCAACAAGCAGAUGCUCUCGAAGAUGGUGAAAGAGAAGAGUUUUGAGUCCUUGAGUAAUCUUGGAGGAGUUAAUCAAGUUGCUGCGAUUCUUGAAAGUGAUACCAAACGUGGCAUCGGUGGCAAUGAAGCUGAUCUUGGUCACAGGAUCAAUGUUUUCGGAGCAAACAGGUACAAAAGACCAAAAGCAAAAAGCUUUAUAAGUUUUGUUUUUGAGGCACUUAAAGAUACAACUAUUAUCAUACUCUUGGUUUGUGCUUUACUCUCUCUGGGGUUUGGCAUUAAACAAGAAGGCUUGAAAGAAGGCUGGUUCGAUGGCGGUAGUAUCAUAUUUGCUGUAUUUUUAGUUGUUAUCGUCUCUGCUGUGAGUAAUUUUAAGCAGAGUAGACAAUUUCAGGCUCUUGCUGAUGAGAGCAGUGAUAUAAGAGUUGAAGUUGUGAGAGAGGGCAGGCGCCAGGGUUUGUCAAUCUUUGAUGUUGUUGUUGGUGAAAUUGUUUGUUUGAAGACUGGCGAUCAAAUUCCGGCUGAUGGGUUGUUCUUGAACGGCCAUUCUCUGAAGGUUGAUGAGUCUAGCAUGACUGGGGAAAGUGAUCAUGUUGAAGUUGAUGAGAAGAGUCCUUUCUUGCUUUCGGGUACUAAAGUGACCGAUGGCUAUGGCUUCAUGCUGGUCACUUCUGUUGGAAUGAGCACUGCUUGGGGUGAGAUGAUGAGCUCUAUUAGCCACGAGUUGAAUGAGGAGACGCCAUUGCAAGAUCGGCUCAACAAGCUGACUUCUUGCAUUGGGAAGAUUGGAUUAACAGUGGCUGUUCUAGUGCUUGCGGUUAUGUUGAUUCGGUACUUCACAGGAAACACAAGAGAUGAGACGGGAAACACAGAAUUUCUCGGGAGGAGGACGAAGGUCGAUGAUGUGAUGAAUUCUGUGAUCAACAUUAUUGCUGCUGCUGUCACCAUUAUUGUUGUGGCAAUUCCUGAAGGCUUGCCUCUUGCUGUUACUCUUACGCUGGCUUUUUCGAUGAAGAGAAUGAUGAAGGAACAUGCUAUGGUAAGAAAGCUCUCUGCUUGUGAGACUAUGGGCUCUGCAACAACCAUUUGCACUGACAAAACAGGCACUCUCACUUUAAAUCAAAUGAAAGUUACGGAAUUCUGGAUUGGAAAAGAAGCAAUAACGGGCAAUGCCAGUUCCUCAGGAUUUGCACAUAAUAUCUACGAGUUGCUGCAAGAUGCAGUUGGUUUAAACACCAUUGGCAAUGUUUACAAAUCGAAUUCUGAAUCGACUCCUGAGAUUACUGGUAGCCCAACUGAGAAGGCAAUUCUUUCUUGGGCGGUGAUUGAUUUGGGGAUGAAUGUUGAUGAACCGAAACAGUGCUGUAAAGUAAUCAACGUGGAGGCCUUCAAUUCAGAGAAAAAGAGAAGUGGAGUUUUGGUGAAGAGGAUCCGUGACAAGACGGUUCACAUACACUGGAAGGGAGCUGCAGAGAUGAUACUAGCCAUGUGUUCUCAUUAUUAUGUCAAAAGUGGGACAAUCAGAGUCUUGGAUGGUGAAGCGAGAAAGCAAAUUGAGAUAGUUAUCAAGGACAUGGCAGCCAAGAGCUUAAGAUGCAUUGCUUUUGCUCACACUAAAGUUGCAGAAGCUGAUGGGCAAGUCCAGGAGAAGCUUGAAGAAACUGGACUGACCUUGUUGGGGCUUGUGGGUUUGAAGGAUCCUUGUCGUCCAGGUGUCAGAGCAGCAGUUGAAUGUUGUAGAAAUGCAGGGGUGAAUGUCAAGAUGGUAACUGGAGACAAUGUGCACACGGCUAGAGCCAUAGCUAUUGAAUGUGGAAUCCUGAACCCUGAUGUGGGUUUAAACAAUGAUGAUGCAGUAAUCGAAGGUGUGCAAUUUAGAAGUCUCUCAGCUGAAGAAAGAGUGGCAAAGAUUGAAAGUAUCAGAGUGAUGGCAAGGUCUUCCCCACUAGACAAGCUUCUGAUGGUUCAAAGCUUGAAGCAGAAAGGCCAUGUUGUAGCAGUGACUGGCGAUGGCACAAAUGAUGCUCCUGCUCUAAAGGCAGCAGAUAUUGGACUCUCGAUGGGAAUUCAAGGAACUGAAGUGGCAAAGGAGAGCUCAGAUAUCGUCAUUAUGGAUGAUAACUUCACCUCUGUAGUGACAGUUCUGAGAUGGGGACGAUGUGUCUACAACAACAUUCAGAAAUUCCUUCAAUUUCAGCUCACAGUCAAUGUUGCUGCUCUUGUCAUCAACUUUGUCGCUGCUGUUUCUUCAGGAAAAGUCCCACUAACUGCUGUUCAGCUGCUCUGGGUGAACCUGAUAAUGGAUACACUAGGAGCAUUGGCAUUGGCCACUGAGCAGCCCACCAAUGAUCUCAUGUCAAAGCCUCCCGUUGGCCGAUCCAAGCCUCUGAUAACAAAACUCAUGUGGAGGAAUCUCAUCCCUCAGGCCAUUUAUCAGGUGACCAUCUUACUGACU
rnacentral:lncRNA from 1 species